AAUAAGAAAAACUAACUAAAUUUUAAUAUAAAAUAGAAAUUUAAUAUUACUAAAAUAAAUUUUAAUAUAUACAUAUAAUAUUAAUUAAGGGUAUUUUUUAAAUUAAUAAAUUAGUGACUUAGCUAAAAAUAAAUAAUAAAUCAAUGAUUUAACUAAAACCUAAUAAAAACAUGACAAAUAAGCAAAUUUACUAAAAUUAUGGAUAAUAUAAAAUAUGAUUGAUUAUUUAAUACAAAAUUAAAAUAAGAGUUUUGCUAAAUCAAACAUAAGUUUGCCGUAUCGGUGUUACAAAAAAAACAAUCAUUAAUAGUGUCGUAGGAAUUAUGUAUUUCCCACUAGCGAAUAAAAUUGAAGCAGAGUGUUGGAGGAUAGCUCAACAUAUAGACGAGAUUAUGGAGAUUGAUAUGGGAGUUGAGGUAACUGACACAACUGUUCCUCCGCAAAAAAACGCUUCUGCUAGACAUCCUGGAUAAAUGAAAGAGACAUAUCUGGACUUCGCUUUGUGUUAAUGGAUGGUGACUGUCCAAUGCUGUUUGGAGCAAUGGCUGAUAUACACGCACCAAAUCUCCACUGCAGGCAGAAGCUGAAGGUUUGCUAUGGGCAAUGCAAGUGAUACUGAAGUUUGGACACAGAAAGAUGGUCUUUCAAUCGACUGUGAACAACUGGUUAUACUCAUUCAAAAGGAAGAAGAUUGGUCUGCGUUGGACUCGGAGCUCGACGAAAUACAAGCUCUAUCCAAAGAAUUUUUUGAACUUUCUAUUGCUUAUAUUCCUAGAUCUUUAAAAUUCCGUACGAAUAGUCUAGCAAAAGGUGUCCGAUCAUGCGCAUCUCGAUCAGCUUUUGUAAACCCUUUUGCACCAAGUUGGCUAGCCCCACAAGGUAGCAUGAAAGUGCCAAAAAGGAAAAUAAAGUUGAAAGUGAACCUAAAUAUCCCAAUGAACAAAUUUAUCAGAAGUCCAUAUUUAUGUGGAUGUCUAUAUGGGACAAAUAAUUUUUUUUAGAUAAUUAUAGAAUAUAGUCACAAAAAUCAAUCCUAAAAUAUAUAAUUUAAAAAAACCAUUUAAACAAACUAUCAAAAUUUUCAGUAUUACACCAAAUAAGAAUAUAAAGACCAACUAUAUUCUCUUCAUGUAUAAUGUGUUGUGGUAAGAUUCAAAAAAAUUAACUUACUUUACAGUAAGGGAAAAUUAGAUUUUUAAUUCUAAAUUUACAGUAAAAACAUAACAUUUAUAAAACUAAAAAAUUAAUAGUACAAAAAUAUGAAAAAAAAUCAAAAUACUAUCCGCGCGUAGCGCGGACAAGGACCUAGUACUUAUAAUUUUAUAAAAAAAUCUUCAAAAAUUUGUGCGAUUUUUUUUUAAAAUUGCUAUUUUCUAACCCCAUUAGUUUCUUUUUAAUAUCUACAAAUUUUAGAAUUAUUAUUUAGUUUACAUUUGAUAAUUAUAUACCUAACCCCAUUUGAUAUGUAUAAAUUUUAUUUAGUAUAUUUUAACCAAAAGAAAUAGAUAAAAAAUAUUUCCAAGAUUAUAAUUUUAAAUAUAUACAUAUCUAUUAUUAAAUAUAAAUUUCAAUACAAAUUUCUUAUAACUUUAACAUAUAAUUAAAUUAAAAUUUAAUAUUGUAAGCAUAUAAGAAAAUCUAAAAAAAUAAAAAAAAAUAAUUUUAAAAAAUAAUUUAAAUUAUACAUUUUUAUUUCUGAUAUAUUCAAAUAGCUUCAAAAGAUAUUAAAAUAAAUGAAAAUUUUAAAAUCAUUUCUAGAAUCAUAAUUAUCUAAAUAUAUGACUAGAUUUUUAUAGACAGCAAAUACAAUCAUAACAUGACAUUUUACGUUGUUUCAUAAAAAAAAAAUUUCUUGAAAAAAUGUUUGUUAACUUUGUAGUUUUUACAAACUCAAUAAAUUAUAAAAAAAUAAUGUUUUUAAUUUUUAUGAAGUUUCAUUUUUAGAAUAUACUAUUACUGUAAUUUGUAUUUUCCUCCUUUCUGUGCAUUUGGUUUGGUUUGGCUGUAAUAAAAUGGACGGAGGUCCGUUAGGUUGAAUCUACUGUCUUUAACCUAAUUUCAUUUUCAAAAGCCUCUCGAAAUCUGAGAAAAAAACCAACAAGAGAAGCUGGAGCUGGUCUCGCGAAGAUCAAACUCGGUGAAUUCAUCUGUUCCCUCUGUCGAUUGUUCAAUCAAAACGAGGAUUCUUUUCUAGGAUUUUGCUAUUUUACCUGUUAGGACUUCCGCAGGAAAAAGAUCUAGAGAUUCUCUAGGAAAUGGAUGCUUGUUUUGAUUUUGCCUUGUGACGUGUGAUUUGGUUCUGUGGUUGCAGAACAGGCUUAGCGUUUGAUGGGUGCUCCAAAGCAGAAAUGGACUCAGGAAGAAGAGUCAGCUCUAAGGUCUGGCGUUAUCAAGCAUGGACCUGGUAAAUGGCGCACCAUUCUCAAAGACCCUGACUUUAGUGAAGUCUUGUUCCUGCGUUCCAAUGUUGAUCUUAAGGUCUGAUCCUUCCUUCUCAUCCUCUGUUGAAGCCCUUUUUGAAUCUGAUUUGGAUUGGGUUUGUUUCAUUGUGUUGAGACAGGACAAAUGGAGGAACAUGAGUGUCAUUGCGAAUGGGUGGGGUUCGCGCGAGAAGUCUAGGUUAGCUGUUAAGAGGACGCACUCUCUUCCUAAACAGGAAGCUACCUCACUUGCCAACACUAGCCCAUUGCAGAGUGAUGAGGAAAUGGCAGAUGCCACUGGCACUUCUGCACCUAAUGUAAGGUCAGAAAAUGAUCAUCUACGUCUGUUUCUCUUGUCUUAGAUAGGAAGGAGAUGCUUUGUUGCAUAUCUGUCCAGAUGGUAUGUCUGAAGUUUAUAACAUGCAUUGUUGUAUACAUAUCAAAACGAAACGGUUUGCCAUCACUUUUUGGCUGUGAAUUUAUAAUUUGUUAGAUUACAUUAAUGUGAACUCUGUAUGUAAACAUUGUUGAAAUGUCUUAACUGCAUUUAGUGUAUGUUAUAUACUUUUGCAUGAUUGUCAUGAUAGCUUGUAAGCUGUUUGCUCCAUCUUUUAAUGUGAAAUUAUGAUAAGGCUUUAAGUGGUAAAAGUCAUACAUAAUACAUUUACGUAGGUGUUUAUAUCGUUUGGAUCUAUUGUGUUAUAUGGUUUGUAACUUAUUUAUAAAUAUUGCAGGCUGGAUAGCCUUAUAAUGGAAGCAAUAUCUACCAUAAAAGAGCCUGGUGGCUCUAACAAAACAUCAAUUGGUACCUACAUUGAGGUAUUCAGUUUUAGUUCUCACUUCCUUUUUUUUCAAUAGACCCUGAUGAUCCUCUCUGAAUUGAUAUGUUGUCAUUGACUGUACCUUUGUUCCUUUUAUUUUGGUUGUAUAGGAACAAUAUCACGCUCCUCCAGACUUCAAACGGUUGCUGUCGGCCAAACUAAAGUACUUGACAGCUUGUAGGAAACUUAUCAAGGUAAGAGUCAAUACAAUCAUUUGACCGUAGGUAUCAUGUGUAUAUAUAGUCUUUGUGAAUCAACUUGAUUCAUGGUUGUUAGUAGAAAAGGGACAUGCUUCAGUCACCAUAACUUGAUUUUCUCUUUAACAGGUUAAACGCAAGUAUAGGAUUCCAAACUCCACUCCUUUGUCUUCCCACAGGAAAAGACAAUUGGGGACAUCUUCUGGAAAACAGAGAAGUCUCUCUUCGCCUUCCCCUAAAACAGACGGAGAUGAAGUCAGUGUUGAGACAAACGCACAGAUUGAUCCGGAGUUAGCCAGAAUGAAGACUAUGAACGUACAUGAAGCUGCAGCGGUUGCAGCACAGGCAGUUGCAGAGGCAGAAGCUGCCAUGGCAGCAGCUGAAGAAGCUGCAAGGGAUGCAGAGUUAGCAGAAGCGGAAGCAGAAGUAGCUCAAGCUUUUGCAGAAGAAGCUUUAAAGACACUGAAAGGAAAAUACAACAACUGCAAAGUGGUAAAACACACACACACUCCUUUUAUAACACAAGUACAUGAAAUGAUUGACAAAGAACAUGCUUAUUAAUGGUUGUAUUGAAAAUCUUGAUUCAACAGAUGAUCCGUGCCUAAGAUGAUGGAGAGAGAAGCUAAAUGUGUUGAGAGAGAAGUAGUGUUUGUGUGUUUGAUGAUGUUUUCUCUACUUGGGAACUUUUUUUAGUUGUAAGCAGUAAUUGUAUGUGUGUCUAUUACUUGUUUACUUGUUCAUUGCAGUUUUAUAUAAUCCCUUUUCUUUGGAUUUGUAAACUUUUGAGUUUUUCAAUCAAGUGUGAGGACUUUCCAUGUACAUAUUUGCCUACUGAACUAAAGGCAAGUGUAUUAUUUAUUAUAUCUAGGGAUUUAUAGAAUUACAUAUUUUAAUACAUUUUAUUGGUUGUAUUGAAAAUUUUGAUUCAACAGAAGAUCUGUGCUUCUGGUGGAGACAGAAGAAGAAGAACAAGCUACAUGUCUUGCAGGUGGAGGGAGAGAGAGAGAUAAGCGUAGAGUAGUAGUGUUUGUGUGUUGAUGAAUCUCUACAAGGGAGAAAAGACAACAACGCGUUGAUGUACGGAAACAAGAAACGACAAGACAUCUCAGCAUACAGAAAGAACGGCUACAAGUCUACAAUUCAAAAAAAAAAUAAAAUCAGUGAUUGAUUUAUACAAUUACUACAUCUGUAUAUAUGUAAACAAGCCAAAGAACUAUUAGAAAAAACCUUUUGUAUACAAAACUAAGCUUAGCGGGAUGACGAUAAUAUAACCUGUGAAUCCCACCUUGAUCUUUGGUUUGAAAACGAUAAGGAAAAGGCACUGUGUUAGCAAAUCUGUUCUUGGUGAAGAAUAGUUGUUAUGAAGUCAAGCUGCUUGUGAUUGGUAUCCGACUUAGUUGUAUUAUGUGCAUCUUCAUGCUACAAUAUGUAACCUGUUUGUUUGCGUUUACCCCAAAUUAAUAUAAGAAUAGUGUAGAUAACACAUCGAAUCUCCAAACCCGAAUAAAAAAAAGCAGAUAGUGAAAAAGUUUCCUUACCUGCAUAGCUGCUACUCUUGAUAAGAAACCUUGACAUCUUUCAAGAAAAACAUUUUCCUUUGCAGUUACAUUCAGACCACUACAUAAUUCAUUUCAUCAACCUAGCCAUGAUAUUAGCAUCCUUGACAUAAAUGAGCUUAAUCCAUAUAACACAAGGGUUACUAGAAUAGCCCAAGACAAAUUACAUUUUCAGACCCAAAAAGGUUCAAUAGACUCAAGACAUGUUGUUUUAACAUUCAAAAAUUGGUUUAAAGCUAAUCACUGGGAGAAAGAGAGAGCAUUUUCAACCUAAAAUCAGAAUAUUUUGGAUACCAUAAAAUAUAUGAAUCACAAUUAUAUUUUAAAUAUAUUAUUUUUUUUAGAUGUAAUAUCCAAAAUAUAUUCAAAAUUAUCUAAAAUGCCUGAAAAAUCAAAUUUAUUCAAAUACCCAAAAGUAAUAUCUAAAAUAGCCAAAAUACUUAAAUCAAUGGAAAAUCCAAAAUACCUACCGGUUUUCCAUCCAAAUAUCCAAACUAAAGUAAUUUUCAUGUUAGUUUUAGAUAUUUGAUCGUAUAUUUUUAAAAUUUAUAUGUUAUAAAUUAUUUAUCUUUAGAUUUUUAAUAUUUAUGGUUUAAUUAGAUCUUAGAUUUUUUUUUUACAUAAUUUAAACCUUUAUCUGUGUCCGAACUAAACCCACAAAAUUUCUGAACCAAAUCCAAACAAAAUUUAUAACUACCGGAUUGGAUUUAAAUCUUUAACCCAAAAAAAUUCAGAACCCGAAUAUGAACCUGAAUCCAACCAAAAUGUAUACCCCUAUACCCUCUCCUCUCUCUCUCUAACUGGAAAUAUCUAGUUGUUUCCCUCCCUUCCAUUUUGUUUAGCAAGCACAUUUGACAGAGCUCCUCUAGAGUAAAAUUAGUCUUUCCUUGCGAGCCCUACCGACAGUGUCAAGAAAUGCUGAGAAAAUUCAGGCACAUUUGAGCAGACACCAAACCUAGCUCUGUAAGUAUCUCAAGUGAUAAUCCUGGAAUCAGGAAGGAGAGAUCGCAAUCCUCGAAAUACGUGGUGUAAGCCCCACAGUAUUCUUCCCUAGUGUCCUCAGGAGUCUUGUUCCCCGACACACGAUCGAUUCCAACAGCGUGAUCGAUCUUGAAGUUGAUUGAGCUCUUGAAGUUUUCGUAGAGGUUGUCUAGGUCAGAACUCUUAGUGACGGGGACAUGGAAGGGACUGAACUUUUUCCUAGAAGAAAGUCUUUCAAAAAGAAAAUAGAGAACAAGUAGGAGUUUCGAGAAAAUAAAAAUAAACAAGAAGGAAACAAAAAGAAGAAAGUGAAAGAAAGGUCUCCCCGAGUAUUUAUGGAGGGAAACCAAGGCGGUGCAUCCUCAAUUCAUGAGAAAAGUAAUGAUUAUUGUUAUGCCUUAUAAUCCAUCUCAGCCGCACGAUGAAGGAGUAACCAUUAUCGUGAUUUAAGUCGUAGGCGGCGGGUUCCAACACCUGUAAAAAAAAACCCACAACUGGCGGAUUCUAUCUCAAUUAAAACAAUCGUGUCGAGCAGGAAUCAUGACUGAAGUACUCACACCUUUUUUGUUCUAGUACUUCACUAAAAUGGCUGGGGACAAUUGAUCGGCCUGAUUUAACCCAUCCAUCGGAACGAGUAACGAAAGAUGAAUAUCCAUCCAAAACAAGCUAGAGAGAAGAGCAAAAGAGCGACCUUGAGAACAAAGACCGGGCCACCAGAAUUUACCGAAGGAAGUCCAAUAUCAAGAAGAUAGGCGAGCUCGACUCGGUCAAGAGAACCCCUAUGAUCCCCGGUGACUGUUAGACGACCAAGGAAGAAGACUAUAAAAGAGGAGGAUGUCAAGAGAGAAGGGACACACAUUCUUAACCCUAUAUACACUACACUCGACCUCAACCUUGAUCUCAUACUCUCUAUUUUUUUUUCUUAGAUACUAGCCAUUGUCAUUCAUUGUAACCUCCAGUGUAUUCCAAUCAAUAUUCAUUAAUAAAGUCCAUUUUGUCAACCGGAAUCUGAUUUCAUCGCUGUCCAUGUUGUUUUCUUCUCUAAUCUUUACAAAUAAUCACUAUCAAAUACUUAGUGUAGAUUUUAGGAUCCACAAUAACCGAAGAUCAAGUUAACAUAUCAGUUUUCUACAUAAGCUAUUGCAUGUUUUACUUGACCUAUAUCUACCCAAAUCCACUAUCUUUCCUUCCUGCCUUUGUCAUGUGAUCAAGCAAUGUCUUUACCAUGACAUGUUUGAUCCUUUCAUGUAUCCACAAAGCAGGCAUAAGCAAAAAAGAUUCUUAGUGAGAGCGGUCAUCCUGCCCCACUUAGCUGCUGUAUAUCAAUAACAUCAAAACAGAAAAUUCAAUCAGACUUAUAUAAUUAUAUGCUUAUCAAUAUUCAAGGCGAAAAUAACCGUUACAAGUCAUGAGCCAUCAUGCCUAAGUGCAUACACUGAUCCAGAUGAAUCACAAGAAGGAAAUGACUACUCGGUCUAAGCUAGCAAUAUAGUGAAUCGAGAUAAGUAAUUAGUCAAAACAAUAUCUUACCAUCCAAAGACUAAGUGGAUUCAAGCAAGAGUACGGUUCAAGACAUAUAGCCGCACACUCACCUUUGUCUUUCGGAUUUGAUUUGAUUUGAUUUCUCUGACACCUCUUGUGCAUGUUUUCACAGAUCUCUUGUCAAGACAAUUACACUUGUUUGAAUCCGAUCAUUCUUGUCUGAAUCGGAAAAUUAUUGUCUGAAAAUUCUGCAUUGUCUAACUAACCAUCUGAACAUUUUUGAAAUUACAAAUUGGAUUAGCUCGACAUGAUAUGAACGUAAGACCGACUGAAUGACUAAGAAAAAUUUGAUCCUGGUUUUAUUCAAAAUCAUUAGCUCACCCAUUAUGAUAAAUCUGACUCAUCUUCCAGUUACAGUCGAUCCAUUCAACUUUGGCCAUCUCUUCUCAGCAUCAUUCAAUCUUAAUUGCUAGCUUGGUCUGCGUAACACAUGCGCUACACCGACCUUCAUAUGUGCAUAUUACAUACAAAGUGUCGUGUCAUUUCUGUAUUAGUAUAGAGAACACUCGCUCUGUCACUAUUGGGUUUCGUUUGUACAUGCCCAAACUGAAUUGGGCUUAUUAUCUCAGCAGUUAUUACACGACAAGGUUUUGUAGAUGUCUUCCACAUCAGACACCCCGACAACAGCGAGUGGGAUGAUGUCACCGCGCAGAUCAAGUUUUUCACUGCAGCUUCCUUUUACUUUUUUUUUCUCGCACUCUCUCUCUCUCCUUAAUCCUUAUCUUCAUUUCUUUGAGAGUUAACAAGAAUUAGGUGAUCGGUGCAUGACGAGCGCAUCGGAACUCUUCUCUACUCGAAGAUCGCGUCCGGGUAGAUCCGACCCGGAUUCAGAAUCCGACUCUUCUCUUUAUCGACAACACUCACAUCGACGUCACGGGAUCCAUCAUCUUAAUCACCGUCAUGAUUCCAACGGCUGUGAUCCUCCCCGACGAGCCCCGCCGCGUCUCCGACGCUUCUGCCACCAUCUUGCUCUCUCGGUUAGUGAAAAUCUUGCUUAAUUUGUUAGUUUGAAACUUGAAUUCAAACCCUUCUGGUUCUUGUCUUCACAGGAACGUAGACCUGUUCAUGAUGUUCAAGGCACUUCACAGUAUUUGAAUACCAACGGUGCUGAUUUGGAAACUGAAGGUAACAGCUUUGGAAGCCUAGAGAGGCUUCCCGGAGCUGUUCUUCUCGCGAGGGAAAGACUUUUCGAAAGAUUGAGAGGCGUUUCUUUGUCUAGUAACAGGUUUGUCUCUACCUUAAUCAAGUGUAGUGUGAUUUAAGAUAAUUGCUUUUGUCUAAUCAGAGAUUUUUUUUUUUUCUUUUGAAUCAGUCGAACUAAUAGAGUUACACUGAGUGAGAAUCAGAGAGAGUCCUCGUUCUAUGGAGAACCAGAAGGGAUUCAAGUGUCCUAUGAAUGCAACAAGAAACCAUUAGGUCUCACACAAGGUGCCAUUAAUGGUUUACACAGGCUAACUUUUAGCUCAGCGGAGGUUAAAACCGAGAGGAGUGAUUGUAGCAUAUGUUUAGAGAGUUUCACUAACGGCGACAUGCUUAUAUCCUUACCAUGUACUCAUAGUUUCCAUUCCUCGUGCUUAAACCCUUGGCUUAAAGCUUGUGGAGAUUGCCCUUAUUGCCGUAGAGCCAUAGCUAAGGAUAUAGAAACAUGUAAAUAGGAACCUUUCCCCCUAACCAUACCCACACGCAUCUUCUGUUCUUUCUCUACACAGGUCUUUCAGUUUUGUUGUGUUUUUUUUCUGUCACAUGUUUGUUCUUGUAACGGUUUUUGUGUGCAAUUAUGAGUCUUUUUAGUUUCCUUCACUGUGAUCUCUCUUUUUAAUGUCUUGUUGGUUAUCAAAGACUUUUUCCAAAUCUUGAUCCGACAUUUUGGUUAAGCUUUGAGGUUAAAGCUCAACAACUUUAGAUAUCUUUACUGUCUCAAAUCUCAAUCCGGAAACGUUUAAGCUCCGUUGCCUCCAUAAAGAUGUCGUUAUGUCAUACAUGAAGAUGUGAUUAUACAAAGAAGCAAUCAAUAUAUGCAACUGUAAAGGAAAGUUAUAGAAGACAAUUGCGCAAAAUGCACAAAAAAAAAAAAUUUGCGCAAAAUGCACAAUGCACACUAUUUUGUACUUUCUGCUACGAGAGUAGAGAGAUAGACCCCUUUUCCUCAUCUUUUUUCCUAACUAUCCCUUUCUCGAGUGGUAUCUGACACGACUCACUCUCCACUAAUUCUCUGAUUGGUAAAAAGUUAGCUUAAAUAGGUGGAAGCAAAAAGUAAAAAAAAAAAUUAGUUGGACUCACCUUAACAUUUCUCACCUUAACAUUUUUGAACAUUUUUAUAUGGAAGUAAGUUUUCCGCAGAGAAAAAAAAAACAAAUCACUUGAUUAAAAAAAUAUUUACUCCAGUGUACUUUAUUUGUAUUAUUCUCACAUUUACUCUUUUUUUUUUUUUAACUUUGUUUUAUUGAAGUGAUUUGAAACAUAUUACAUCAUAGAAGAAUACGACAAAACGAUAAUGAGAAACUAAUGAUUCUUCUGCAACAGAAGCUCGUGAGGAUAAUCAUCAUUGAUGACACAUUAGCCAUAUCAAACUAGUCUUAUUAUAGAAUAAGGUAGAUUAGGUGUUCCCGUUCCAGCAGUAGCAGACGGACUUCUAAUACCUUAUCAAAAACAUGACAAUCUCAUCGUCUAGAUAGGUCUUCAUCUUCAAUUGCUUUUAUCAAUUUUGUUUCGAAUGAAAUCGCUUCAGAUAAGCUACCAUCAAAACAUUUUGAAUGCAAAUAUAAAUCAAAUAAAUGAUGAAGAUUGAUGGUUCACACCAAUAUCACCAAUAGUAGCAGACUAAGAUAAAGAGAGCGCAUAAGAACAAGCUCUCCAAAAACCAGCGACAACCAUCACUACCUCCACUAGAAAGGCUAACUUCCACCAUCACAUUUACUCUAUUUUGUUUACCAAUUACACUCUAAGAUUAACAAAACACACACGGUAAGAAUAUAUGACUAUUUUCUAUAAUAUUGAUUUCAUGUGUCAACAACACUUAAACCAAAUAUGAUUCAAAUUCAAAACAAGUGGGGCCGGUUUAAUUCAGUUUAGAACACUGUUUCAUAAACUAACAAUGAACUUUCCAUCGCAAGCAGCAAUUCUCCUUCUCUUGACAAUGCUCGGUUAAAGAACUACACCUAAGCCGGUGGGACAAAGCAGUCUAAAUACAUUAUAAUUCCUUCGACUUGUUUGUAAUCAUUGGUCUUGGUCACCCAGCAAUCAACAUCAUCACUCUUAAAUUGGAUCCGAGUCAACUGAGAAUCCUCUAUUUGAGCUAAAAGCCCUGUUCUUUGGCUGAACUAACCAAAAAUAGUGUUUCAUACGAUCUCUGCUGGUCCUUUACUCCUCGCCUUUAAUGUUCCAGGGUCAGUACAUAGCUUCAGAACGAAACAAUCCUCACAAUUCACUUUCUUCUCUGUCAUGCACGUUGAUUUAUAGUAAACCUAGUGGCAGUAGUUCUCGGAUCAAAAUGAAACAGAAAUAUGCAUAACAAAAAAGGGAAGAUUACUAAAAUAACACACAUUUUAUGAGUAAUGAAUAGAAUAACAUACUUUUUUUUUAAUUUUAGACUAUUUUUUUAUGCCCAUAAUGUCCUUAUUUUCUUUGUUAACAAAAAAAAAAUUUACAAAAAAAAUUUUACAAAAAAUAAUUUACAGAAAAUAAAUAUUUUCAGAAUAUAUAAAUAAGUCUACUGUUAAAAAUCUGCGACAUUUAAUGGCAGUUUUAUUAGUACUUGACAGAUUAAUAUUUUUCAACAAACUUAUUGUGGUAGAUUUUAUAUCGUUAAAGACUUUUUGAAAAAGUCUACCACACAUUAUGGUAGAUUUAAUCUCAAUAGCAAAUUUGUUUUUAAUUGGCAGGUUUUUAUAGCAGAUUUUUGUCUUUUGAUGGCAGCUUUAUAAUAUUUCGAAGACUUUCAUAAUCACACACAUAUUUUUCUCACAUACUUUUUAUAAUUUGGCAGAUUUUUGUGUUCAUGAGAUCACAGACUUAUAUUUUAUGUAUGCUAAGCUGCAGACUAAUAAACUAACAAAACUAACUUUUAUGUGAUAGCAGACUUUAACAUACGUUAUGGCAGACUUUGAAGGAGUUAUAUGUUGUAGCAGACUUAUUCGCGAAAAUCAGUUUACUAAUUAGAUUUAGAUCAAUUCUGGGUUACUAAUUAAACCAAAAAAUUCGACCACUAACCGGAACAGUUAUUGGUGUCUCAACUACACACAUAGUGAAUUUGUCUGAGCGGAGAUGUUCAUGCCGCAGAUUUGACAUAGAAAAUUUACGAUGCACGCAUGCAAUAGCAGCAGCAGAGGCGACAAAGUUAUCAACGAUUUCUCUAUGUCAUCCAUACUACCAUGCAAACUAUAUACACAAUGCUUACUCCCCUGCAGUACUGCCGAGAGAUGUUGAUAUACAUCAGUUCCUGAAAAUAUCGCAGGAAUCAUUUGUUUACCUCCGGUGGUUGGCCAACCACCAGGGAGACGUAAAAAAUCAAGAAUGAAAUCUUGCCUUGAGAAAGGUGAAAAUAAAAAACACCCAAGGAAAGAGCAUAAAUGUUUUAUUUGUAAUCAGGUUGGUCACAAUUGCAAAACAUGUCCUGUUCUUUAGAUAGUUUGACUCUUAUGUUUUUUUUUGUUUCUUGUUUCGAUUUGUACUUGUUUCUUGUUUCUGGUUAGACAGUUUGAAUCUUUUGUUUUUUAUUUUGAUUUGGACUUUUUUCUUGUUUCUGGUGACAAUUUGACAUGCUUGUUUCUGGUUGCACAAUUUAUUUACUGGUUAUACAGUGUGUCAUCUGUCCUGUUGUACUCAUAAUAAACAAAGACAAGAUGGGCAAUGAUGUCUGUAGAUAUAAGUCCGCUUGAUUCCAACGAUUUCUACUAAAAAUUCACAAUGAUAGUACACAACUUCAAGGCAGCAAGUAGAUAAUGAUUCCAAAACAUGAAAUACUACAUAGCAGUCAAUAAGUUUGUUUCUAAAACGUGAAAUACUACAGACCCAAGACCUCAUCAUAGAUCUCAGCAGCUAACUUAAUACACAUUGCCGGAAUGCACUGGUCAGAAAGUCCUUCAAAACCACAGCAAUUUGCCUUACAGUUAUGAUUCAUUGAUCUAUAUUGCAGUGGACAUUUUCCCUCUUCAUAAAGUCUUGCUGGAUAUUUUUUGUGGGUGCUUGAUGUAGUCAUAUCUCUGUAAAUAAUGAACAAUGAAGUAAGGAACACACGAAUUUUAUAUUUCCAGAAAUCCAAUUCAAAAAUACCCAAAAAAUAAGAAAGAGACUAAACCUUGAUGCCACGAUUUCUUGGUCAACUGAAUAGCUUCAAGAGGAGAUGAGGUUGUAUCUGAAGAAAUAACUGAGAAAACGUAAAUAUCCACGACCUUCGACGAAACUUUGAAUUUUAAAAAGGGGAUUUAGGGUUCGUCGGCCGAGUGGAUGAGGAAUCAAAGGCUUUUAUUGGUAGAGUAUAGUGUCGACAUGACCCAAUCGAUGAGGACUCAUCUUAAUAAGAAAGAGAAUCGAAAGUUUGAGGAUUACACAAUUUGGGGAUUUAGGGUUCUUGGGGAGGGUCACGGGAAAGAGAAAGUGUCGUGGGGGAGAAAAUGUUUUUUUUUUUUACCUUUUUUGUUCAACCAAAGCUUUUACUUUAUCUAGAGUCUUUCAUUUUCUGUAUUAAAAAGUUAUAUUAUAUUUAAAUCUAUUUAUUGAUUGGGUAUUUUGGACUUUAACUCACUUUUUUCUUCUUUCUUUGUUUUGGUAUGUUAUUCUAGUCAUUACUCAUAAAAUAUGUAUUAUUCUAAGUAAUUUCCCUAACAAGAUAUUAAUAAAGUAAAAUUGAAAAUAGAAAAUUGAGUGAUUUCAAAGAUUUAUUUAUUAUUAGUGAAUGUUUUGGAGAUAUUUAUAAUACGUGUUAAUCUCCAAGAACUUUAACGCAAUAAAUUAUUAAUGAGUAUAUAUAUAUGUUCUUAUGAAGUAUUUUGUUAUAUACAAAUAAUUUUAUAUUCGGUUUAAACUUUUUGUUAUUAUCCUUAAUGAAGUAUUAGAUGUAUUUAUUAGAUUAGAGUAUCAAUUAAAAAUUAAUAUAAUAAAAUUGGUCAAAAACAUUAAAAAAAGAUUUUAAAAAUUUAAAGAUAUUUUCUAUAUAUAUUGCGUCGUUAUCCGAAAAGAAUAGAUUUCAAUCAUAAAAAAUCAGAAAUUAAGAAACAUAAAGAUGCAUAAUUAAGUAUUAAUUAAGUUAACUGAAUUUUAUAUAACUGAGAAGAGAAUAUUAAGUGAUUUAUUUAUUUAUUUAUUAUUAUUAAUAAAUGUAGUGUGUUAAAGAUAUUUUCAAAAUAUUAUACUAUUGAGAGUGUCUAAACAAAAUUCUAAUAGAAUACUGAUCAUAUUUUGAUGAAUUUUUUUGUCAUAUAUAAAUAAUUUAAUGUCCGUUCUAAGCAUUUUAGGAACAUAAAAAAUAAUUUAUCAUGAUAAUUUUUAAAUUAGUAAUACAUAUAUUAAAGGUAAUUGCAAAAUAAAUGCCCACAUGCCCUCAGACCAAACACCUAGUUUAAAAUUUAAAUAUUACAUACAUAUUUAAUUUUCAAAUUUGAGAUAAUAUGAAAAUAUAUAAGGAUAAAAGUUAUUACAGAAUGAAAAUCUUAAUAAAAUAGUACAUGAAAAAUUGUUUAAAAUACCCUAAGUUGGUUAUCCCUUUUCAAAAAUACACACAAUCAAAAAUACCUUAACAUUUAGGUUUAGGGUUAGUGAUUAUUGUUUAGAGUUUAGUAUUUAUGGGAUGGAAUUGGACAUAUAAACUUCUAUAAAUUUUAUAUAAAUUAUUCUUAAACAUUUAUAAAUGAUUUAGGUGAACAAAUUUAUUUUUAUCACAAAUUUAAGGUAUUUAUAAAAAAAAAAGUUAUUCUUUAAAGGUGUAAAUUUGAAAGUGAUAUCAGACUUGUGGUAAAUUGAAAUUCUCCCUUUAUUUCACUAUUAUUUAGUUUAAGAUAUAAUAAAUUUAAGAGAUAUUUCUUAAAAUACUCUAAGAUAUCUAAGUUGAAUAUUAUAUUUCAAGAAUACACUUAAUCAAAAACACUUUAACAUUUGAGUUUAAGGUUUAAUGAUUAAUAAACUUUAUAAACUUUUCAAUUACUUGUUGACUAUCAUAUUUCAGAGGGCGGGGUUGGAUUUAUAAACUUUUAUAAAUUAUUCUUAAAUAUUUAUAAAUGAUUUCGGAGAAUUAAUUUAAUAUUUCUAAUCACAAAUUUUAGGUAUUUAUGAAAAAUAGUAAUCUUCAAAGUAAAUUUAAAAAUUGAUAUCAAACUUGUGGUUAAAUUGCAAUCCCCCCCCCCCCCCCCCCCCCCCCCCACCCCAAAAUUUAAUAGCAUUAACAAAUUUGGUCGUGGAGUAUUAAUACUACUACAUUUGUUAGACAUUAUCUGAGAAGAUACUCCAUGAUGUUAAUGCUCUAAGAUCAGAGCAACAUAAUUUCAGGAAUUCUUUGUUUUAGCAGAAGAAAAGAAAAACGUCUUAGUUUUGCUGUUGAAUUGCUGAAACAUCUUCACUGAUACAGUUGAACUUUCUCCCUUCCGAGAAGAUCUUGGAAAGAGAUAGUUUCUUAUCUUAUUUAGAUCGAUGAUUCGAAGUCAUUAUCAUGUUAACAUGAUUGGGAUUGCAAAUGAAUGCCAGUUUGUUAUAUCAUUCUCUCAGCUGAUCAUUUUGCACCUUUGAAUCCAAGUGAGUCAUGCAACAAAUUCCUCAUGCAGUUUUCUUGAACAAUCUGCAACUACAACCUCGGAUUCUUAUAGAUAUCUGCAAGAGUAUGCUUCGCCUGAUCCGUCUUUGUUUUGAUUCCAGGGAGCACAACCUUUUUGUUAAACUGAUUGCUUGUAUUCAUGCAUUGUUGAAUUAUUGCUCAAUGACUGUGAGCAAGUGAUUCAGUUUCAGAAAGAGCUUCAAGCUGUGUUAUGUCUGUGAAGUAAGUUUUAACUGGGUCACUUAGCUUUUCUACUGCCUCCUUAUAUUAAACACAUACAUGACAAAAAACCGGAGGACUUCCAACAAACCAGGUCCAUAAAGUUAUCAAGUGAUUCAGUUUCAGAAAGAGCUUCAAGCUGUGUUAUGUCUGUGAAGUAAGUUUUAACUGGGUCACUUAGCUUUUCUACUGCCUCCUUAUAUUUAACACAUACAUGACAAAACCGGAGGACUUCACAAAACCAGGUCCAUAAAGUUAUCAAAAGUAAGAAUUUGAAUUCAAAGAAACUUGACAACAUCAACAACUUCAUAUCUAUUAAUUAGAAUCACAGAAGCUGCGGGUACAUACGCUCGGGCCAUUUGGGAUAAGCACGCUUGUAUAAGUUCAUGCACACAACGUCAUGUUGCUGAACCACUCCAUUGAAUAUGCAUUUCAUUGCCCCUGUGGCAAAGUCCACAUGAAUAAGCAAAGAUUCUAGAAAAAGACAAACUCAACCCGUCCACAUUUUGUCCACACUUCUACAGGCUGCAGACAAGAAAUACGUUGUUUCAUCCCCAGCUUUGAGCCCUCACUCUUAUAAUAAGUAACACAUCGAUUUAAUUACUUUUGACUUCUUACCUUAAACCAUCUAACGUCUUCAGGUUUAUGGAACAUAUAUCUUACUGAUGCUUUCAUUUUUGAUACUCUCUGAGGAUACCUGAACCCAAGCCACAUUCAAAGCUUGGUUAGAAUUACAGAGCUUAAGCAUGUAUGCAGACUAGAAAUAUGCGACUGUACUUGGUAAGAGAAAGGUAAUAAGUAAGAUUACCCAGUUAAUAUUAUCUUCUUUAAAACUAUUUUGCUGGGUUCAAUGCUUUUCAAGGAACCAAAGGCAGCAAAAGCAGGAGCAUCAGCGUCAGAAAUCUUCAGAACAACCAAAGGAAGGGAUGGGAAGGAUAUUGGGCCGUAUACUGAAGCCAAUGAGAAACGGCCUGGAUGCAGAAACCUCUCCAUCACUUGUUUGUCUAAACUGAUAUUGUCGGUUGAAAAUACUGGCCUGGAAAAUUUUCACCGACCAUUGUUAUAAGAGAUUGCAAACAAGAAAAGCUAUUGCAGUAAAUGAAACAUGAACAAAUUUUACCAACCUUGCAACGAACUGACGGAAACCAACAUGGAACAUUAGCUCCUCUUUUGUUUUAAUAGGAUCUUCGUAACCAUCAUACUUCUUUAAGCUGUGGAGCAUAGUUAGAGAAGUUAGCUGGGCAAACAAGGUCUCAUCAACAGAAAAAUAUAAACAGUAAGAUCGUGAGUUACCUAAAGCGCAGAACCGACAUCUUGGAUUCAUGUUGCAAAAGCCCAAAUGCUAUAAUGGGUUUCGUGCUAACAAUGGAGGAUAGUUUAGAGGCAGCAACAAGAGGCACUUCCUUAAUAUGCAGCCGUACAUAUGACCCAGUUGGUACACAAUCAUCUCUGCUUUCUUCUUCUUCUUCUUCCAUCUUCAGGGCUUGCUUGAGCACAAGCUUUUGAGUCCUAGCGACGUUAUCAAAAGCAAAGAUUCUGGCAUAGUCCUGAGGUAGAGACUCCUGCAUUUUUGCCAACAAAUAAUAAAAAUCAGUAUCAGUUUCCAGUAGAAGGAACAUAAUGAGCUUCAGAUCAAGAUCAGUGUUUACUACAUUUGGAUCCCACGGGGAGGUUCUGAAGGAUUUGAGACCCCUGUACUUUGCAAAACGUUUUCUUGCAGGCUGAUCAAUGGGAGUCUCCACCUCAUCUGGAAAUUCUGAGGACACAACAAUUGAAAGUCUUAAUUCACUUUGAUGUAAUCUUAAUAAGAAAAAUACAAGGAAGACAAAAUCAAGAGCACUUGACACUCUAAUGUAGAAAAUAACUCUACAAAAGUAAGAACAAAGCACCAACCCUCAUCCUCAGCAUGUGCCUCUUUGAUUUUCUUGAUUUGAUCCUCAUAUUGUUCUCUUGUCAAGGUUUCAUCGUCCUGAACAAUCAGCAGAUUGGGUUAUAACUUAAUCAAGAUACGCAUUCAUAACAAAAAAAAAUGUAUUGAAGCUACAAAUAGUGUUUGUAAGUCGCUACGUAAAUGGAGAGAAAGCUUUUACCAUCAUCUCCGAGUCAUUAUGAGUUUCAUUAUCCAUAUCCUGCACGUACAGUGUUUCUUUAUCAUCCUCAAAAUCUUGGUCUUGAUUGGAAUAGUGAUCCUCUCCUCUAUCCAACACCAUACGAUCGUCAUAGGAAUCACCAUUAUCAGAAUCCUCUUCAUCUAUCUCAUCAAUAAUCCAAGCAGCCUGUGAACCAAAAAUAAGAACACCAGAGACAGGAAUAGCGAAAAAAAGAUCAUCAAGAAACCUGAUAUUCUGAAGUCCCUCGUGGCAAACUCCUCUUCUUUGGCUUUCCCUGUUUCUGAUUUCUGUCAGCCUCAGCCAUCUCUGCCUCAGUUGGCCAUGUCUACACAAUAACAAGUGAAUUUCCACAACAGAUAACAAGACAAGCAAAUGGCCCCUUCAUCUGUUAAAUUACUAAUCAGACUUACCUGUUCCCCUUCUAAUGGAUCUGGAGUGUUUUCAGUUACUAAAGGCUCUUGUUUCAUGGGAUCAGGAACCAGAGACCUCAAUACCUGAUCAAUCCCAAAACAGAACGAAGUGAACUGACAAAGAGAUGAAGGCACAAUAAAAGCACAAUAAACACUUCACUUCUUAUUAAGAAAACAACUUUAAGAGCUUCAGAGCACCAUUAACCCUCAAGUUGCUUAAUUGGGGUGCUUAAAAAACUUUUUAAUUUUUUGUUUGUGUGAAAAAAGAAAUUAAAAAAAAAAAAAAAUACCAAUCGCGGGCCACUACGUGUCCGUGGAUCCGCGAAUAGUGCAAGCAAUAACUGUUUGUGAUGUUUAAUUAAGCAUUCCUUCUUUUUCUUCUUCUCUUUCCUUUUUUUUUAAUUAAAAAAUGCUAAGCAACCUUUAAGCACCCAGGGUUAAUGGUGCUCUCAGGAGGAGUAUUAUACGUUCAAUCAUUAUACAUUUAUCAUGACAGACAAUUCCUGUUAUAUAUAGGCUGUUCUAGCAUUCAGCAAUAUGUGUUCUUUAAGGUAAAAGACUAAGAGAUUAUCGAUGGUUGAUGAAAAUAUCAGAUACCUCUUCAUCAUGUGAAUCAUCCAAUUCCAUGGAAUUCUGUUUUCUCCUUUCAUUUAAUAAUGGAAAUGGGUCCUUCAGGACUUCAACUUUUGAGAGCUGAAAAUCACCAACGCCAGUAACAUGGACCUAUUGUAAAGAAAACAGUUCUCAGAUAUGGUUAUAUAGCAUAAGGCAUUACAGAGAGAGUAGAAUUGCCUGAUUACCAGCUGAUUUACUGAUAGUUUACGAGCACGCAAGUAACCGGAGAGAAGUAGAGUGCACUUUCCUGGGGUUGUAUCAUCCACCAGCAUCCCAACCUAGAUGCACCAUUCAAAAGUAUGCAGAUAUUUUACUUUUUUACUCACAGCUAAAUUAGAUGUUAUGAAUAACAGCAUAAAACAAGCACCUUCUGAGCCAUAACAUAAGGUCGUUGCUUCCGCCAGUGAGGUACAGAAAGCCUUUGUGCCUUCAAUAAUCCCAUGAACUGCGAGCACACCAAAAAGUAUGGAUUUGCAUCAUUUAAACUUGGCUAAUUAUAGACAUAAAAUCUAUUGAAGACCACUCAGUAAAAUGACAUAAGAGUCUCUGAGUAAUUCACCUGAUGCAACUCAUCUGUGGUGUCUGCUGGAUCAAAAUUACAAUCCUUAGGAAAUUCAGAAGCAAGCCGAGAGGCACACAUCUUUUUCAGCUUAUUUUUCUUUUUCAACUCACUGGGUAAGUCCUGCAAUCAAGCAACACGAGCUAAAUUUCAAGCAAAGUUUGAGAGAUGGGAGACCAACAGAAGCAAAGAGAACAUACACGUAUCAACACAGCGGUACUUGGCAGACCAAUUGAUCUAAGCACAGAAAGACACUGACUUCCGAAUGAAUCUAUCAAGCUAGAGAUAUCCUCGUUUGCAGAUGCAACAAAAGCGAUCAGAUCAGCAACCUAUAUAUACCACCAGUAAGAAAUAAUAAUUCAGUUUAGCAACUAACUAUGACAAACUCUGCUCACUAAAAUUGAAAAUCAACAUGCCUUGGCCAUUUCCAUGCAUGUCAGAAGAUCCCCAUGAGGCGCCUUCAACACCUAAGAUACGUAUGUAUUCUACUUAAAAUAUGUAUAAAUAACCAAUCUGUUGCUCUUAAGGGAAUGGACAUACUGUUGUUCGUAGCUUAUGCUCAGAUGAUGCAACUGUUGAAGAAGAAGUGACAUCACCAUCAGUAGAUAACAGCUUUAAAACAUCUUCACCAAGUGAAUUCAAAUCCACGGAAGCAGAGAGAGGAAACAAGACCUAUCGCCAAAAACAGAGUUUUUAAAACUGCAAGGGCUGUAACUUUCUGACUACAAAAGUUCCAACAAACUCACGAUAACUCGAGGAGCACUGGAUAAGCCUCCUGAUUCCCUCUUCUCCUUCAAAACCGCUGCUCUUUUCUGCUCUCUAACCUAAAGAGACAGAGAGAGAGAGCUAAACAAGAUUCAUUGUGUUGCAAGAGUCGCAGAUUAAUUAAAAAAAAAUGUAGGAAGGAGAAUCAUUACCAUCUUGGCACGCUGAAGACGAGCAGCUUUAGCGCCUUUAACAUGGUUACCCUCCGGUUUACCAAUCCGGCCUCUAUCUGAUUCAAUUGCAAUAUUUUUUUUAGUUAUGUGAAGAUCGAAAGAGAUCAAAUCGUUGAGGGGAUUACCUUGGAGGGAGGUUUUGUGGAGAUUGCGAGAAGACUUAGAGGAGACACGAGUCUUGUGAGCCUUAUUGACUUGAACUCCAGAGCGCCCCAUGGUGACUGCAACGAGAGGAGGAGGAGAGUGUUCUGUAACUUCUGUUUAACGUUUAAACCCUAAUAAUAAAUAAUAAAAUCUUCUGUUUCUUGUUCCUCAGGGUUUUUGUUAUCGGGUCCUCUUUUUGGCCCAAAAAGGGAUUACAUGAAACCCAUUGAGGAUUACACUAACCCAUUGGACAUUUGUCUUUCAAAAGAGCUUAACCUAUGAUAUGGAACUAAAUGAGUCAACAUCUCUGCCCAAGCAAAUGAAAUCUUACAUUUUAUGUCCUUCUGAAUUAUUGUAAGAUUUUGUGGUGUUUCACAAAUGAAUAAAAAAUGGGGAUAUAUUUUUGCGUUUAUUUUAUUAAAAGUGAGAUUUUUCUUGACAAUGGCAAAUACACAAAUCCAAUGAAUUUGUGUUAGCUUAAGAACAAAAAAAAGGCAGGUCUCAGAUUUGUUGUUGAAUUGCUGGAAAAAAAUCCCAGUAAUCUGUAAACUCUAUUAGUCUUUCCAUAGAUUUGUGAAACUUGUUAAACGGGAAUCAAAUCACCAUGUCCACAAGGGAAGACAAUAUCAAAAAGUCAUUUUUGUAAUCUUUCGCAUAAAAUUAUAGUUUCGAAAACGAAGCUACAAAAAUCGUUAUCUAAUUUUUUUUUUAAAAAGAAUUAAUUUUAUUAAUGAUAAAGGAAAAACCGGUACAAGCAUAAUCCCAAACCGGAUUUACCGGUUCUGUCCUAACCGAGUAGUACAAACUGACACGAAACGGCCGGAGAAGACCACACGCCAGAGCAGAACCUUGAUCCCGACAGCCACAUCGCAAGACAGCUGGUUCGUCAUCGGCGCAGCCCUAAUCCACCGGAGUAGGGAGGGAUACGUCAUGUGUAAUGUGUUGUCAGCAAAAGACGAACCUGGACAGCAGCAUCUCACCAGAACCCUGAAAGCUAAAACCUGAAAAAGAAAAGAAGAAACUCCAACGGCCAAGAUCCAAGAAGACAAGCUGGAGCUGCGUGAUGCAGCUAUAAUUGAAGCUGGUCAUGGACCAGAACCAAACCGGAGGAUGUCAUCACGUACCAAGAUUCCCAAUCGAAAGUAUUUGGAGUAAACCACUCCAACAUUUUAUUUCAGUAUUUUGUCUAAUUAUCUUAAGCACAAUAAGAAGAGAAUUGGUCAUCCUUAUGUUUAGGAACCACCUCUUCCACAUUUCCCAUUUCCAAGUUUGUAGGAGUUGAACUCCACGUUAGUUGUUUCUUUCUUUAUUUAAGCUAAUGGAAAAACCAAAAAGAGGUAGUCUUUUCUACCCAAAAACAAAGUGUUCUUAAGUUUUCUUUUAUUGCUUUGACUGGGACCAACAUUUGGUAUCAGAGCAACUUUUUGCUGUAACCUGAAGCUAUAUUAGGGUUAUGGCAAGCAACAAAGAGAGAUUGACAGACCUGGAAACAAGUAUCGGAAUGGUACAAGAUGAGGUUGCCAAGAUCAACGUGAAAGUCGAUUGAAGAGAUGGCUGCAAAGUUUCGUGGCAUGGAAGACUCUUUCAAGAGGAUGCUGACUGAUGCAGUGUCAAGUCUUCGUGAAGAGGGGUCCAUUGCACCGAAGGGAGGAGUUCCAACAGAGACGAUGGCGGGUCAUCAUGAAGAGGGAACGAGUGCGGCUGGAGGGGUCAGACGAUCGGAGAUACCAUCACUCUCUGCCUCCGCUCAGAGAGGAGAAACUCCUAAUCUUUUUCACAACGAACCUAACCGCCGGCAUGUGAAAAUGGAAUUUCCCAAGUUUCGAGAAGAAGAUCCAACAUCAUGGGUGAGCAAGGCGAAACAAUACUUCGCUUACCAAGAGAUGCCACUAGAGCAAAGAGUCAGCUUUGCUUCGUAUCACCUCGAGGAUGAAGCAAAUGAAUGUUUCGAGAAGAAGAUGGGUGAGCAAGGCUACUUCGCUUACCAAGAGAUGCCACUAGAGCAAAGAGUCAGCUUUGCUUCGUAUCACCUCGAGGAUGAAGCAAAUGAAUGGUGGCAGGCUACUUCAAAAGCCCUCGAUGAAGAUGGAGUCUCGGUGUCUAUUCGAGGAAGAACUUUGGGCCCGAUUUGGACCAACUGCUGCUGAAGACUUUGAUGGGGCUCUCUCCAAGUUUCAACAAACCGGUACCUUGAGAGAGUAUCACCGAGAGUUCGAAAAGCUCCAGAACAAGGUGUCAGGCUAGACACAGAAGGCGCUUAUUGGGACAUACAUCGGUUGACUUAGAUAUUCCAUAUCCGACAACAUCAAGAUGUUUCAACCGAAAAGGUUGAAAGCAACGGUGGAACUCGCACGGAUGUGUGAUGAACAGCUCCAGCGCAACCGACGCUAUACUCCAACCAACAACAGGAACUUUCACAGUUCUCAGGCACCGCCACCACCACCCAAUGCAAACAACAACUCAACAGCCAACGAGGACCAGACAUCAAAACCUAAGCGGUUGAUUUGGGAGGAACUCAAGCGGAAACGAAGUCUCGGAAUCUGCUUUAGCUGCGAUGAGAGGUACACACCGGGGCAUAAAUGUCAAAAAUCUCAGCUACUUCUUAUGGUUGCGGCGGAAGAUGAAACCGACGAGGACGAGGAAACCUCUGAAACCGACGAAGCAGAAAUAACGCUACAAGCUCUCACCGGCUGGGAUACACCACAAACACUAAGAACACCAAUGAAGAUCAGUGGCCAGAAUCUCGUGGCAUUGAUAGAUAGUGGAUCAACCCACAAUUUUAUCAGUGAGAAGGUUGCUAAUCGAUUGAAUCUCCAGGUCUCACCGACAAAGGAGUUCAACGUACGAGUCGCUGAUGGUCACCCGCUUCGGUGUGAUGGUGUCUAUCGAGCAGUAACCACGGUACUUUCCGUUGGCCAUGUCCACAAACACCCAUCUUUUAUUAGGUGAACAACAAGGUGACAUUAUAAAAAAUCCCAGAAUUCAAGAACUUAAGAAAAAGCAGGAAGAGUUAUAUGUUUAGCUUUUUGAAACUGAGUCAUUGUUUAUUAUUCACUAUAAUGUCAGACACCAAUCUUUUCCUUCUCGCUGUUAAAAAACAUAGCAGAAAUAACUACUGUGAAAUAGACCUGAAGAAACAUCACAAGCUCUAACACCGCAAUCCUUCCGUUAAGCCGUUCAGUGUAAGGUAGGUAUAAAACCUAACUCCACUUUCAAAACCACCUGAAACCGGAUCCUUUGCACUCCCAGUGGGAAAUAAAGUCCCGAGAUUUUUGAUGCAGACUCGACUGACUCUUUCAUAGAGUUUCUCAGCUCUGCUUUCUUCCAUUUCACACUUUGGUAUAUGAGUCAGAUCUAUUGAGAGAUGGGAAUCGAAUUUGUCGGAGUCUUUGGUCUCUAUUUAGUUUCUGAAUCCGGUUGAGUAUCCUCUGUUGAUUUGAUAUCGGUGGUGAGGAUGGUGAAGAGAUUUAAAGUGUGUGGCUAUCCGGUUGGAAGAAAUCUCAGAGAUGGGAAAUGGGUCGUAAUUUGUAGAGAUGUUAUCGCCAUUAUGUUUUUUUAAGAGCUUUGUGUCUCUUAAUUGGAGUUUUUAUAGCUUCGGCUAAGAGACGUAGUUUUUCUUUGAUUUUAACUAAGAAAAUCUAAGAACCGUCUCUUAAAUAAAAGAUAUAAGACUGUUUUUUAGCCAAAAAGUGUAAAAAAAAAAUAAAAAAAAAUGUCAAAUCAUGAGUUAAGAACCCCGGCUAAGAGACCGGGGUUAAUCAUGCCCUUACGCCUCCUGUGCUUUCUAUCUGAAAUUUAAUUUUCGAUUUUUGUCUUUAGAAAAGUGAUGUAGCAGAAACUUCUAAGUUUAGUGAAUACUCUUCGCAGUGCUUAAUCAAAAGCUCUUAAAAUCGAGUAUACUCUUCUCAGUGGUUUAUAGAAACAUCUUUAGCGUUUGGAAAUACUCUUUCCCGUGCUAUAAAGCUUGUAUAAAAUCUCUUUCUUAUUAAAUCAUCAUAAAACUGAAUACAACUUUAGGCGUAAAUGCUAUCUUAUAAUAAAUCACUAAUCUUAGAAAACCCUAAUCUAAUUUAAUAUUAGAAAACCAUUAAAACAAUAAAAGUAAUUAUCCUAUUAAUAAAUAAUAAUAAUAUUUGGAAUAUAUCCAAAUAUCCAAAUAAUAAAAGUAAUUAAACUUAGAAAAUUCUAAGUUUAGUAAAUACUCUUCGCAGUGCUUAAUCAAAAGCUCUUAAGAUUGAGUAUACUUUUCUCAGUGGUUUAUAGAAACAUCUUUAGCGUUUGGAAAUACUCUUUCCCGUGCUAUAAAGCUCGUAUAAAAUCUCUUUCUUAUUAAAUCAUCAUAAAACUGAAUACAACUUUAGGCGUAAAUGCUAUCUUAUAAUAAAUCACUAAUCUUAGAAAACCCUAAUCUAAUUUAAUAUUAGAAAACCAUUAAAACAAUAAAAGUAAUUAUCCUAUUAAUAAAUAAUAAUAAUAAUAUUUGGAAUAUAUCCAAAUAUUCUCUGCAUCAUUCUCUUAGGGUUGGAGAAGAUUCGUCCUCGAAUCUUGAUCAUAAUUUUCAAGUAUUUGAAUAUCUGUUUAGGUGCCCGUCACCCAAAGAAAAUAUCAUGUAUUCAAUCUUUGUGGAUAGUGUAUCUCUCAUCAAUUAUAUUUGUCUCUUGGACACCAGCACAUAUGGAUUACAAAUAUGCUAUUCCUUUAGCAACAUUUCUACAUAAAAAUAAGAAACAGAAAUCAGGGUUGUUAAAUUAAUUGAUAGGUACAUCAGAAUCUACAAAUUCAUAUUUAGUUAUUCACAAAGAGUUGUUUCUAAUGCCUUUAAGAACAAUAUUAGGUUUUCAAGUGAAUAGACAUAUGAACAAAGGAAAAGAUCACCAUAUGAAUCUGCUCAAAACCAUAGUGCCUCAUAAUAAAUCGCGUUACUAUCUAGUGAUAGAAGAUUCAAAGAAUUGAUAAAUUUGAAAAGUCUAGGAUUCAUAGUAAAAGCAAACUAAAAAGAAAGAAAUAAUGCAUUAGACAAUGAUAUUAUAUGGUGGUCACUGUAUAUGUUACUUUUAUUUGUUUGGGUUAAGAUUCAAAAAUAGCAGUUUAUAAAAUAGUGUAAAACAAAAGACAAUAGCAUAAUGUUCCUUCAAAUAAUUAUAAUGAUUAUACCAACCGUUAUGUAUAGAGAUUGUACACAUUGUAAGAGAUUAUACGAAAAAAUACAAAGUCGUUUCUAAAACCAAAAAGAUAUCAAGCUAAAUGAGCAAAAAAACAUCACACCAACUGUUCCUUACACUUUAUGCUACCCUUGUUUCAUUACAGAGAAUGAGUUUUCUCAUCUCCAAAAACUAAUUAACAUAAAUUUUUUAAUCAUCCAACACCAAUGUAUAUUGUUUUCAUAAGAAGACAAUGGACAUUUUGCUUUAAAAGAUGUAGAUUACUCAGGAGUUAUUUUGUUAUUCAUUUUGAUUUUUGUGACAUUUCACAACGGAACGGUUGAAUCCUUAUGUAUUGAUUCUAUAUCUCAGAAAAAUAAAAAUCAAUUUUUAGUUUUCGGAUUCGAUAGAUCUAUCAAUUAAUCUUUCUUAACAAUUAGGGAAAUUUGGGAUCAUGAUUCAUGUCCAUUAUUAGGAUGAAAACUAAGUGAAUGCACAUAGCAACAACAUGGCUACAUUAUUUUGUAUAUUUUGUGUAAUAUUACAUUGUUUGUCCCUCACCAAUCACAAAGCUUUAUUUAUUUUGUUUUUUAUUUUUCCUUUUUCUCUUUUCUUCUUUCCCCUUUGAUUUUAUUUGAUGUGUGGGGUUUCAUUUAAUUAUAUUUAGUUAAAUAUUAAUAAUAGAAAAAACAUAUAUAUUUUUUGUACAUAUGCCAUAUUUUAAAUCUUUUCAAACGGACAUAAUUUUUCUCUCCAAAAUGUGUAAAUUUCUUUUAAUAAGAAGGAUGUUAUAUUCUAUACUAUUUAUAUAGAAUAGUCCAUAUUUGUAACAAAAUUUAUAUAUUUAUGAUAAAUCUGUAUUUUUAUUUUGAAAAAAUGGUUUGUGAAGAUUUAUAAUUAACACUUGAUUUUUACAACAGUUUCAUACAAUUUAAAUGGAUAUAUAAUUACUCUGAUUUUUCUUUUCCAUCGACUAUUAUAAUCAUUUAUAAUAAAUUUUAAGCAUUCUAAUAUACUAUUGAUUCCAUUUAUAAACAUAAUAUAGUGUAUUUUUUUUGGUCGAAAAUAUAGUGUAUUAUAACAUUCUUCUUUCUCCUCGCUCAUUCCUCCGUACUGUCUCCUCUUCCAUCCUUUCUCCUCUCCCUCCUCUUCCUCCGUUUCUUCAUCCUCUUCCUCUCUCCUUCUUCCCAGGCCUGGCUCAAGAUAUUAGUGGGCCCUGGGCAAAAAAAAAUUUAGGUUUUUUUUAUAUGUAUAUAUGGACAAUUUAAAAAUUUUGGGCCCUUAUCUUUAAUUAUUUUUGAAAAAAUUAGACCCCUCUUUCAUACUAUUUUUGUUAAAAAAUAUUUGGACCCUGGAGCCCAUGCCCCCUUGCCCCAUGCCCUAAGCCGGCUCUGCUUCCUCCUCCCUCUUUCUCCUCUUCCGUUUUUUCUGCCUUUGGCAGUUAGUAAAACAAUUAUAUUUUGUUUGUAAUAGGUUAUCAUCAUGAGUUGAGUGUUAUAUACUAUUUAUUUAACAUAUAUAGUAUAGUCUAUUUCGUCAUUUGGAUAUUAUAAUUUUCACGCGCACACAUCUGUAAGGAGAAUAUGGUCAAGUACGUGGUUAAAAUGUUCCGUCAAAUACUUGUUACUGUAGUAUGGUUAUAUUCUUCAUUUUUAUCGUCUUAUGAAUAUAGAGCAAAAUCACCCUAACAAUUAUACAUAGUUUACCAAUCUUCUUCAGCGAUAUCUCGAAUUUAAAAAUAGCUUGAUUUUCUCAAAUAUAUAUACCAAUAUAUUCACCCAAGUGAUUCUCCUCUCUCGGUUUUAUCUCAUUUUGAUUAAAGUUGAAUAUAUGCAUAUAGUUUGAUAUGUAUAUCAACGUUAUAUUUUCUUAAAAAGAAUUGUUCUUGUAUAUUUUAUCAAAAAAAGAAUUGUUCUUGUUUAUUUGAUAAUUCAUUUUUAAACUCAAUAAAAAAAUAUAUUGUAUAGGUGAUAGUUGAUGACCAAAAAAAAAGGCUGAUAGCAAAACGAUAAUUUAUAUUAAACAUCAACUUUCAAUACAUAAUGCAACACAAAAAUAAACCACUGUAACAAUAGCUAAGACAUAUAUCUAAUACAGGCACAAUGGAAUGCAUUAAUAAAGCUAAUAUCAAAAUCUUUCAGAUGAUAAAUAAAGGGAUUUUUGAGUUUUUUUAGACAGACAAGAAAAUACUUUCGAGUUUGGAUGUUCGUGGAUUCGACCUAUAUAUAUAUCUCAUGAAAAUAAUUGUAAAAUUUAAACCAAAAUUUCAAAUGGAGAUCUGCUUUCAGCUAUACCUAGUCAUGAGAUUCAAAAACAAUCCUACCAGGUUUCAUAUCAAGAGUCAUUCUUGGGUUCACCAACCAAUAGAAAAUUGUCAUUUUAGAUCUAGUAUCUUUUAAUUAAGGAAACCAAAUAAUUUGGCAAAUUAUAUUAUCUUUUCAAAAUAAAAUUUAAAAAUAAAUAAAAAUAAUAUAUAAAAAACGAAUUCAAAAAAAAAAAUAUUGUCAACAAAACACUAAACCCUAAAUUCUAAUACUAAACCCUAAACUCUAAUACUAAAUCCUAAACUUAAAUCCUAAACCCUAAACCCUUGGGUAAACCCUAAAUCCUUGGGUAAACCCUAAACCCUCGGAAAAACACUAAACAUGUUGUCAACAAAACACUAAACCCUAAAUUCUAAUCCUAAACCCUAAACCCUUGGGAAAACCCUAAACCCUUGGGUAAACCCUAAACCCUUAGGUAAACCCUAAACCCUUAGAAAAACACUAGACAUUUGGAUAAAUUCUAAAUUAUAAAUCUUAAACACUAAACUCUAAAUCUUAAAAAAAAUUUUUUUUUUAAAAUAAUCUUUUUCAGAACUAUUGUUAUUUUUAUUUAUUUAAUCUUUUUUUUAUUUUAAAAGCCUAAUAUAAUUUGGCAAGUUAUUUUGUUUCCUUAAUUAAAAGAUACUAGAUCUAAAAUGACAACUUUCUAUUGGUUGGUGAACCUAAAGGUUCACCCUAGGAGGUGAACCCAAGAAAAAGUCUCAUAUCAAUCCCCUAUAUAUUAUUUGAGAAGCAUUGCAAUAUUUUUUUGUAGCCACAUGUCAUCACUAGAAUAAUUCUGAGAAUCUUUAGAGAAAUAGGUUGGUCCAUCUAAAUAUAUAAUAAACUUUUUAUUAAACCACAAUAAAUACAUUAUUAAUGUGCUUCAUUAUUUCCUUAAAUAAGAUUAUGGAAUUGCCUAAUGUAGCUAAAGUAUAUAUAACAAUUAAUAAUUUUGAAUAAUAAAAAUUUGAUAAAAAUAAGUGUGUAUUAUAAUUAUAUUUAUUUAAUUUUAAGCUAUUAAAAUAAAUUAAACAAUCAUAGUAACCAUAUAAUAAAAAUUAAAACAUUAUUUAUAUAUUAUAUUUUGAAUUUUUAAAAAUGAGUAUAAAUUACUAAAACUGUUAAAAGUUUACAUUCAAAUUUUGUGAUCUAUGAUUUAAAACUUUUGUUAUGACAUGAUACAAAUAAUUAAAAAAUAAUAUAACUUGAAAGUCUCAUUUAGUAAGUAUCAAAAAUAAAAUAUAUAUAAAUAUAUGUAUCAUUUUAAAUUAAACUAUAUGCCAUAUAAAAAUACAUAAAUAUCUUAAUUUUGAAAUUUACUUUGAACAUUUUUUUGAUAAAAAAUUUGAAAAAAUAUUGACAACUUAAUUUUUUAAAAUAUUAUAAAUUACUUAAACCAUUAAUCCCACAGUAAAAAUUUUGUUAUCACUAAUUUACACUUUUUGCUAUAACAGAUUUAAAUGAUAAAAAAAUAUGAGCAAAAAGCAUCAUCUAAUAAAUAUUAACAUUAAAAUAUACCAUAUAUAUCUUACUGUCAUUUAAAUUUAAUUAUAUAUUAUAUCAAAUAGAAAAAAUAUUUUUUGAUUUUUAAAAUUUAUUUAUAUGUUCGCACCAAUUUAAUUAUAUAAGUAGUAGAUAAUAACUUUUUAAUUAUUCAAUAUAUAUUUAUAAAUAUAUAAUAUAUAAAAUAAUUUUUAUAUAUAAUGUUUAUCAUGUGCAAGGCGCGGAUCUUAAGCUAGUAUGAUCUUGCAUUUUCACUUAACUUGUAAAAUGGGUCAUACCACCUUCUAUUCCCACUAGGAGGAUGUGGUGGAUCUUUUUUGGUGGCGUCUAUCAGCGUUUUGGAAAAAAAUGUUUUGAGUUUUAGAAAUCUAUUCUAUUAAAAAGGAAGCAGUCUUAAAAAAAUCUACUUAUACAAGGUUGUUUGGACUAUUUCCUAAGAGUUAAUAAUUUCAUGGUCCUACUUAAAUUUCUCCUAACAAUAUAUUUUCAUAAAUUUCUCUGAUUUUCUUUAGAUAUCAUAAGUGUGCCACUCCUAUAUUUAUGGCAACUACUAUAUUACCUUCUAUAAAUCUCACCCCUUAAUUAUAAAUUUCUCCAUUUAGUUAUUAAUAUCUCAUAUACGAUUUACUAACCAAUAUUUUGUUGAUGCAAUAAUAUAUAAAUUCGUGGGUCCAUAGACUAAUAUAUUAUGUAUGUGACCAUAUAUAUAUAUUAUAUAAUGUUUAUUUUAAUUCUUAAAUUCAUAUCUAUAUAAAACGAAUGGUAUGGUGCAUGUCACCAUUAAAUAAUACAUGCCAUUUAAAUUAAAAUAGUCUUGUAAGUAAUACAUGUAUUUUAAAAAAAUGAGUUAAUGAAGUAUGAUAAAUAAUUAUCACAAAAUCAUGUUUUACUAUAGAACCGAUCAAACUGAGUAGUAUAUUAUAUUAUUUUCAGUUCAUAAAAAACGAUAUUAACUUAUAAGUACUGAACAAAUUUGAAAAAAUGCAUAUGAAGUUAGUUAAAAAUUAUCCUCCGGCCAACUUAUUUAAUUGAAUUUUUACUAUAAUUCUGAUACAACCACUUAAAUUAUAUUAUGAAAAAUUAAAAAAUACAAAUACUAUAGAAACUAUUGCUCCAUAUUCUCUCUUUUUUUUAUAAAAAAAUAAGUUGACUUGAUUUUUACUUAUGAAGAACAGUUACUAAAAUCCAAAAUAAUGAUUAGUAUUUUUUGUUUGGGCAACAAAUAAUGUUUAGUAUAAAAGAUGCUCAAAUACAAGUCCACUUUUGUAAUUCAAUUUAAAUAACAAAAUAAAUUUACAAAUAUAAUUAGGUCCAGAAUUAAUAAUUAUAUUAUUUGAGUUUCAAGCUUGCAGGUUUCCGCGGGUUAUUCAAUCAUAUAUUAUAUACUAAACACAUUGAGAUUAGUAUAAACUCUUCACUAGGUUUGGAAUACCUAAGUUAAACAAGAUUUUUCUCUUUUGAAAAAUUAUUAACCCCGUGCUUCAAAGCUUGAUUCAAAAGUUUGAAUUGAGUUUUGAAAAAAUAUCAUCCAAUUUAUAUGGGAUUUUAUCAGGUCAACCAAUAUUGGAUAGCGGGUUAAUGAUAGUUUUUACGUUUUUACCGACUUUUAUCAGAUUUUUUAUAUAUAAGGUUUUAACAAAAUUUAGACUAGAUUUAUAUGAAUCACCUGAUUUACUUUUGAGACUAUAGGUUUGGUUCGGGUAUGAAAAAAUUGCUAAAACUAUUAAAAAUUCUACAAUAUAUAUACUAUUAGAUUAGCCUAAAAUCUGUCAAGUAAAUUUUUUAUCUCAUCAACUCAACAAAUAUGACUCUUACAAAAUACACACAAAAUGCAACAAUGACGUUGUAACAUAAGAAUACACAUAUAAAAUUUAAAAUAAACUAUUUGAUAAAUUAUAUAAUUUUAAACUAAAAUUCUUUUACUUUUUCGAUGUAAUAACACUUUAUAACUUAAUAAUAUACUUCAAAACAUCAAAACCAAAAUAAUAAUUUAUAUCAAAUAAUAUUAUUAAUCAAAAAAACCCGCGCUUUUGAAGCGCGGGUCAAAAUCUAGUUUGGGCUUUAAAAACCUAGCCACUCUGCGUUUGUACUUGGCCGCUCUUUUAUCUCUCAGAUCGAUUCAAUCCAAAUCAUGGCGAAUCAAGGCGUAGAUACCUGGAAGACGGUUACGAGCAAAGCUGGAUCUAGUCGAUCCCAAGAGGAAUCAAACAUUCAGACAGAGCGCUGUUACUUGCAGUUUAACAAGAAGAAUGCUUUACUCUGGCCGCUCUUUUUUUUUUUUUUUUUUUUUUGCAAGUAUUUAAACUUCUUAUGUUAUUUGUCAACUUCUCUGCAACUAUUCUCUUUGGUAGAAUACAUAACUUGUUUUUUCUUUUUUUUUGUCAUCACUCCAGUGAUAACUUGUUAUAAAGCUACUAUUUGGCCCAAUAGAGGUAGGAAGAUUAUGCCUUUGAAUGUUUAACACAUGUACGCUGCUUUUGUUUUAGUAUUCGAGUAUCAUUGUUGUUAAAAAAAAAAGAAGAAAUUUGGGCUUUUUGCCCCAUAACCAAAAAUUUAUAAUAAUGAUUUUUAUUAACUAUUUCCUUUGUAGCUUUUCUUAAACAGAAAAUAUGCUCAACUCUUCUUCUAAUAGUUUCUUUUAUAAUUUUUUUUCUUUCUUUUAUCCUUGGCCUAACGUUUUCUUCUCUUUGUUCUUUAUUGUACACGCUUCUCUUUGUUAUUAGGGCAUUUCCAACCCAACAUCAUUUUUUUUUUAAAUGGAGUAAAAAUAAGUAUGUAAUAAAAAGUACGGGUAAACGACUUAUUUCCCCACCAAAAGUAUCGUAUAGUAACAGUUACCCACGAACUUUCGACCUCGUCUUAAUUCCACAUAUUUAAAGUUAUUCAACCUAUUACUCCCCAAUUCAGAAGAUCGAAACACAAACCCACAUAGACCAAAAUUCUACACUGAUUUAACGGUUUGCAAUUCAAACCAGAUUUGAAACACUUGAACCAAACCAAAAAACAACUCAACCCGACCAAAAACCCGAUUUGUCCCAACCUAAACCAGAUGCCUCAACUCAUCGGAGAAUGGCAACGUCGUUUCCAAGCUGUUCGAUUCUGUCACUGGCAGCGUGGUUGAUGGUGGCAAUUGUGGUGGAUUGGAGAAUCUAGCUAAAAAAAUUUGUCCUUUUUUAUUCGUUUGCUGUGAAUUUUGAACCAAGUUCUGCAAUUCACCAAGAUCAUCAGCUCCUUCUUCCACUUUAAACCGUUAAUUGAUUUCUUCAGAGGUGAAAUUUACAAUAAAAAAAGGUCAAGAUUUAAGUCACUGGAUUCGAUUUCAACAAGAACAAUCUGAUUCUUGAAAUGAUUAAGAGAAAGAUCGCGACUUGGCAUUACUGGUUAUUAGGUUGUAAAAAGGAGAAAGAUAUUUAAGCUCUUAAUUGAGCCAAAAGAAAGGAUGGAAACUGGAGUUUGGAUUUACAAGGUAUUGUAAAUCCUGGGAUUCAGUUCUUGGACUCUGAAAUGAGACUCGACAUGGUGAAGGGUCUUCUUUCUCUUAUUGUGAAGUCAGCGAGUGGUCUAGUGGAGAAGGGAAUAGAACAGUUUCUGAUACGAGGGCUUGGAGAUCUCAGGACAUUCUUAUCACGAGACAAGAGCUUGUAUCCGAACAAUAAAUUGCAAAGCGAUUUUGCGUCUGCUUUUUUGUUAAAAAUCAGAGACUUGGGAACACUAACAAAGGAGGCUAAAGGGAAAACCAUUGUUUUGUUAUAUCUAGCUCACCUCUUGUGGAGUAACAACCACAAGAUCAUGGAGCAGGUUCUGAACACGAAUGGUUAGUUGUUUGAACACACUUGAGAUCUUAAGAAUCUUUGCGUUGACUGAUGAUGAAUUAGAUGACACUGAUUAAUUCUCAGAAUUCACAUUCUUAUGGUCAAAGAAGUAAUCAUAUUACGUCUGAAUCAUCUUGAAGGAGAAACUCACAAGUCACAACUCGCAAGCGUCAUAUGAAGAGAAGAAGAUGCUGUGUUAAUAAUUUAAGAAAUUAGGUUAUUGGGUAAAUGGGUCAGGUUAUUAGGUUGGAUUUAGUUAAUUUUGGUUUAUAAUUUGUAACCGGGUAUUUUUAGGUUUAACUAGAUUACCGAUUGGUUAUUUUUCAAAUUAAAAAACAGUAAACCAGUGUGAACCGGCUCUGUGUCGGUUUUAGUUUCGACAUUAAAUAUUAUGUAGGUUUGUGUUUCGAUCUUCUGUAUUGGGGAGUAAUAGGUUGAAUAACUUUAAAUAUGUGGAAUUAAGACGAGGUCGAAAGUUCGUGGGUAACUGUUACUAUACGAUACUUCUGGUGGGGAAAUAAGUCGUUUACCCAAAAAGUACUCUAACCCUACUUCAUUUUUACUUCAUAAUGAAAUUUAUUUCAUAAAUGAAGUAAUAUAUUUUUGUUUGUUCAUUACUCCAUUAUGGAAUGAAAAAUAGUGUUGGAUUGGAACAUUUUUUAUUCUAUACUUAUUUUUACUCCAUUUUGGAGAAAAAAUGAAGUUUUACAUUGGAGAUGCUCUUAAGUAUCUACGUAAAACCAAAACUACUUACACUAUGAUUUUAUAGGCGAUGUUGAACUCCCCAAAACGAUAUGACUCCUCACCCUUUUCAUGAGAAACAAACGGGAGUAUAGAAGACAUUUGUUAGGCUAAUGUUUGCUAGAAGCCAAUCCGUACCAAAAUUAACUAAAACAGGUAUGAUUUGGGAAACAUUGAUACAUUUAAUCCAUUAAUGAUGGCAAAAGCUGUGGAAAUGAAGCUGAUGUGCCAACUUUGAUGACAAAAUGCAUUGGAUGGUUCACAAAUUAAACAAGUCAAAACAAUGCGAGUAAGUUUGUGGAGAAGCCAAACUCUAAUAUACACAUCACAUAAAUAUUCCUUAGACCAUGUACAUUGGUAUAAUUUGUUCAACACCCAUUUUUUUUCCUUUUAAUAGUACAUGUAGAUCUUAAAAUCUACAUUAAGUAUUUUGUAGUGAUCGAGAGCUUAACCUGGGGAAGAAAUAACGUGGGCAACAAUAUCUUUAGAACGCAACGAAUUAAUCAGGUAUGAGUCAACAAAAAAAUAGCAUACAAAUAUCAGGAAAAGAAAGAUCGUGACUGGAUUCGGUAUCAAGUUGCCUACGUACCCGUCAAGGGAUCAAGUCUAAACGUAGUUCGAUUAUAAUCAUGUCGAAAGAGAUGUCAGUAUCUUCGGUCUCGGGAGAGACCUCGGAUUCUCGGUCUCGAGCUCGAUGUUUGCUUCGAGAUCUCUUGUCUUGAAUAACUAGUAGUUAGUGUACGAUUGAUAAGUUCUCGAACUGCAUAUGAUCUCUUUAGAUCGAUCUUGUCGUAUGAAGAUAAGGUCGAUCAUUAACAUGAUACGAGGGUCGCUAUCGUUAUGGAUUCUUGUUUUCACAAUUACAAAGAUGUGUUUACGUCGUGAGAUUAUUAUUGGGAAUCUCAUCUCUCUCGUUCUUCUUAAAUCAUCAAAAAAUGGAUGACUUGUUUAAUCAUUAAAUAGAUAUAAUGAUUCCAUCAUGUGUUGGUGGAGGAAGAUGUCGAUUUUGCCGAGACCGAAGUCUCUUUUCAUGUUCGUGGGUCUUUAUUCCUUUUUUGCAAGCUUUGUGUCUCGUCCAUCUCCAGAAGAAGCCCCCUCUUUACAAGAGUAAUAACUUCGUCUUUUAUAGGAGCAAUCAGCCUCCGUCAGUUCGUAAGUUAGUUGCACGUGCUCCUUAAUAUUUGAUCAAAUCUUUGACCUCUUCUUAGGUCCAUGUGAGUCCGAAAUAUGGGGAGCUUGCUAACUAACUUUUGACGUCGUCUUUUGACAUUUUAUUAAUCACAUGAAACUUGGUGCCGAAUUAUGGUCCAACAUUUGUCCCCCAGUUCUUCAAGCAAGGUGGCGAGGUUGGAGGGCGGUAAAGCAUCCGGAACAAUAAUACAAUUCCAAUUUGAUUUUCUUCUAGGGAGUUUACAAAGUCGUUUGCCAUUACUUAGUGAGGUCGCUCACAAGAGGUCGCAUGAAGCAUUUGGUCUUGGCGCCUUUGUCGUGAUCAAAAUAUGAGUCCGACCUAAGCUACUAGAUGCAUUACACCGAGUCAUCUGAGGUUCUUUUGAUCAUCAGGUGACCGAUUUCGUUUAUGUACACGGGUCCGGACAAGAUUUCGAUGUAAUAUGAUGUGGAUCCUGCUGGUGAGAUGAAAGUUGGAUGGAGCUUGUGGCUGUAAAGGUAGUGGGACGAGCUUGUGCACAGGGUUGCUGAUGCGGAGUUACCUUGAUCUCUCGUGGUAGAUUGGAUUUGCAUAAUAAAUAUGUUUAUUAAGCUUGUUUUAUUUUAUGAGCUUUUUGAUAUGAAUCUAGUCGUUUAUUUCACGCCGUUUGUGUAAAUAUUUUGUGUUUGUGUAAAGGUACGGAACUAGAAAUAUAAUCCCAAUGAAUCAUUAAGUCAAUGCAAAAUGAUCGGCUACACGUUCGAUAGUUGAGUUUUUACUUUGGUUCGGUUACUGGAGCAAUUUAUAUCGCUCGUCCUCGAGGUGUUUUGCGAGAUAGAAGCUGAUAGGAAUCUAACUCGCGGGCCAGUGAUGGCCUAAGGACGUGGUUUAUCGAUAUUGUUUUUUCUUUUAUUAUAUGGAUGGUAUUUUAGGUCGAUGCGAGCUUGGGUCGUUUGAGACCGCAUGGUAAACUCGCUAAGAAUUCAAGCUUGUGCAAGAAGAGUUUAUAAAACAUUUUGCAGUUGUAUAAGUUUAUUUAUGAAGUUGUGAUGCAAAAUAAUGAAUCAAUAUGAAUCUGAUGACUCAGAAGAUCACAAUAGCUAUGCAAGAAUAUGUAUUAUCUUAUGCACUAUAUUGAUAUGCAUAAAUAGAUUAUAAAGAAUUUUUUAUCGCAUGGAUGUGUUUUGGUCCUGGUAACUUUGAGCUAACUGAGAAGUAAAUGUGUUGGACGUUUGAUCAUGUGUUCCUCGUGUAGCUGAUGAGAGGGCGAGGCGUCCGGGAUAUGAAUUAUUUAUUUGGUUCGCAUACAACUCGUCCAUUUCGGAUCAUAUCGAGCGUCCUGACACUUGUAAGUCUAGACGUAGUUUGAUUAUAAUCGUCUCAAGGAGACGUCUGAUUUGUGUAAACUGCAUCGUAUGGAGACGAGCUCAUGUGAUUGGCAUGAGCUAGGUUCAUUUUUGUUGUGUGUACGAUUCUGGACUUUUAUCCAAUUUGUGUUUAUUUAAUGAAAUAAACAUUAAGAAAUACUCCUCGUGUUCUUCUCGUUCCAUAAUCAGAUGGUGGAGGAAUCUUUUGGUCGUUUCGCAAACGUAAAUGAUUUAAUUACAUAGAAAGCAAGUAAUCUUUUUGGUCCCUCUCUUGCUCAGCCCGCGCUCUCCUUAGGUCUCGAGCUCUCAUGCUCGGAAUGCCGUUUACGGAGCUAGGUCACGUUUGAGGACUUGAGAUAUAAAGCUUUUUCUUUAUUGUGGUCUUGUUUUCGUUUAGAAAUAUGCGUAUCAUUAUGAUUUGUCUAGAUUCGUCGUUUGCUUUCAAAGAAAGUAACUUCAUGGUUAGGUUCGUCCAUGGAACACGUCCUUCAUCUACUAUGCUUUUUUCAAGUUCAAAUCUCGUGAAAAGAGGUCAUUUUGUUUUAAGGAAUCGGUUUUAGCCUUCCUCCAACGAAUUCGAGUUCUGGGAUAAAAUAGAGAUAUCAUUUUUUUCUUUAUCAGAAGAUGAGGAGUCUUGCGAGCUGUUGAAUUUGUUGAGUUAUGUGUUUACCAAAAAAAUAUCCACCUCUUUAGGUCAUCGGUGGAGGAUAUCGUCCUUCAGUGUUCACACUAUUUUCAAUGUAACCUAUGAAAUUGUUUACAUUGGUACUAUUUCGCAAGUUGGUCGCUUAUGGGUUCGGGUUAUUGUAGGAAACAUCCUAUUAAGCUUACUUGGUCCCUUUAUCUGGAGCUCGAAGGCUCGAAGGCUCGAGGGAUUUUCCUGUUUAAGUUCCCUGUACGAAUUUCGUCUGGUCCUCUUAAACUCAGGUUUUGGUGGUUUGAUCCGGAUCCAGGUGAGUCGUCUCUUCGGUCUAGAAAUAUACAGAUCGUGAGAUGGAAAAUUUAGGAGCACCUGGAGAUUCUCGGUGGUUUGGCGAUGGGAGUGGCGCGUGCGCAUUACAGCUCCUCCUCCUCUUUAAGGUGUGUGCUGUCGGCAAGGGAGAUACCUGCCUGAAGUAGUAGAUUGAGCUAUAGGAUUGUCUCCGCUUGGUCUGUUGUUCCGUCGGUUCCCAUCAGAUCUGAUGGUUAGAUCGUUUGUUUUAUGCGUCUUAGUGACCAGGGUGGCAGCGGGAUCAAAUCCUAAAAUGGACCACAAGGGGUCAAAAAAAUCUAAAAUGACCCACUCAUAAUUUCUAUUUAUUUUCAGUUAAAAUUUAAAUAUUAAACAAAAGUAAAUAACUGAAAAACCAGAAGACAUUAACUUAUUUACAACCUGUGCCACUAUUAUCCUACCCAAAAUCCGACCCAUUUUCUGACCCAGAAUCCGACCCAUUUGUAACCCUACAUCCCCAAAUCAAAACACAAUCUCCUUCACCUCCCACAAUCCAAUUUUGUUGUUCUUGUUUUUAACCCAGAUUUAUAUUAUUGUUUUCUUGUUCUUAUCCCAAAUCGAUCGACCUAUUAUCAUCCUUAAUCGAUUUACUCUUAUCUGAAUCGAAUUUCAUCUUCGUUGUAAAAAAUUCGCGUCAAAGAAGAACACAGAGUAUUAAUAGUAUAACUAGUACAACUCAAACUAGUACAACUAGUACAACUCAAACCAGUACAUCUAGUAUAACUAGAGUGAGUAUAACCACUAUGACUAGUACAACUAGAACGCAUAUAACUAGUAUAACUUUGCAAUUAGUAUAGUGAUAUUUGGUUUUUGUUUUCAGCUUAUUAAUAAUGUUAUAGAAGAUGAUGAUGCAGAACCAAUGAAAAAUUGGUACAAUCCUCCCACCUAUAUGUAUUAAAAUAUUUUAAUAGUUUGUUUUCUAUAAUAUUUAAUUUUGAUAAUGAAUUUGUUUUACUAGUUGUACUAUUUAGGAAAAAAUCAUCUUCAUUCUUUUUGCUCUCGAAGCCGAAGAAGGUAGUUGCAAAGCCAGAAAAAUUAUAUUAGGUUAAGAUGUGUUUUGUAAUAGCCUAUAAUACAGCUAGAAGGAGUAUAACAUGUAUAUUAGUAAAACUGAAACGCGUAUAACCAGUACAACUCUCCAACUAAUAUGGUUAUAUUUUGUUUUAAAAGAGUAUAAUGCAAAGAUGAUGUAGAAGAUUUAAAAGAGUAUAAUGCAAAGAUGAUGUAGAAGCCCUCACGGGUUUGAAAAUGAUGGAUAGGCUUCAUGUUUGGUGUUUGUACUAUGACAAUAGUGUGGGAACCGAAAUUUCCACCGGUGGCGUCUGCACUCGCCGUUGAUUUUACCGGAGAAGACGCAAUCGCCUUCUUCGUCGCUGUGAUAGAGAGAGGCGGAGAGAUUGUUUUAUUUUUUAUUAGGGUUACGGGAAUUAGGGGUACAAUUUUCCCUUUAGAUUGUUUUUUUUUUAUUCUUUCCCCAUUUAAACAAACUGAUUUCCAUUUUUUUUAAAUACAAUUAAUCAUUUAUAAUGGGAUUAGUUUAAGGUUAAUUUUGGUAUUAUGAAGAAAAUUAUACUAUAGGGACAACUUUAGAUUGAAUUUAUACCAUAGGGACAACCAUUCUGUUUUUUUAUUCUGUUUUGGCAAUUUUCCCAAUAAAAUUUCUAUAAUUAAGAAGUUGAACCAGUAGUACCAAUAUUACAUGUCUAGUAUAUGAAUAUAUUUUUAAUUAUAUGAGUUGUACUAGUAGUAAACGUUUAAUAUAUAAUGAAAAGUUAUUAAAAAAUAACUAGUAAAUAAUAUUAAGUCAAAUAUAUUGCAAGAAAAUAUAUUAAUGAAAAUAAUACAGAAAAUUAUUUUUACUUUUAAAAAAAGAUAUCAAAUAUAUUCAUAGCAUAAUUUUAAUCUAUAAUUACAUAUUUAAAUGGGAUGAUAUAUUUAAGUUACAACAUGAUGCAUAUUUAAAAUAAUACUAAAUAAAAUAACAAGUAGUUGUACCAGUUUUCUAGUUGUACCGACUGUAAAUAGUUGUACUAGUUUUUGAGUUGUACCAGUUUGUGCAUAGUUGUAUUUUGGCAGUGAAAUCAUAAAAUAUUAGUUGUACCACAUAAUAAAUACAUUUUAUCUCAGUUGUACCACUUAUUUAUGUUUACAUGUCUUUGCCCGGUUACAAUGAAAUCAUCAAUUUUGUAAAACUACAUUUCAUGUAUGUUUUCCAAAACUUAUGUGGACAAACAAGUUAACAAACAUUAAAAGUAUAAGGUAGAUCAUGUAAACUUAUGGAAUUGUGUAAUAAUUUUUAUAUUUUUUUCUAAAACUUCAAUUUAAAUUAAGAGAAACUUUAUGAGUACAUACCAACUGGGAUAUAUGAUUGUUUUUCUCAUAUGAAAUACCAAAUUGGUUUUGUUAAUUUCUGAAACGUCGAAGUUGUACUAGUUAUACCAGUAAUACUAGUCUAAUAUAUAAUAAAAAUUAUAUAUAUAUAUAUAUAUAUUGGUUAUAUGUCUAGUUAUAAGGGUUGUACCAAUAUUUUCACAUCAUAGCUUUGUAAAAUAUGUUUGAUGUUUGAUUAUCAUAAAAAUAUGGCUAAUAUAGUUAAUAACCUUAAAAGUAUAAAUAUAUAAUAUAAAAUUAAGUGUGUAAUACAAUAAUAUAACAAAAAAUUGAAAAAUCUUAAACGAAUUAGAAGACAUUUUUGUCAUCAUAUACCAAUUAGAAUAUUUAUUUGUUAAUUUCAUGUGUAAAUUAUAAUAUUUUUAUACUAAUUAUAUAAUUUUUUAAAAUGUUUAGUUGUACGAGUUAUACUAGUUUUACCAACUCGAAUGAGAGAAUGAGAUAAGGAAGAUUGUGUGGAUGUGAGUGGCUGAGAUUAAAAAAAGAGAAGGAGGGAGAAUGAGACAUGUGUUAAAUUGUAUGGCCAAGAUUAAAACGUAGAUGUUAUGAUCCAAUGGCCCAUAUUACUCUUUCAUUAAUGGCAAAAUCGUCAUUUCCCUUUAAUUGGUCCAUGUUAGAUUUUUUUUGGAUGUUGUAGACUUUUUUUUGACCAUUUGGUCCAUAAUAGAUUUUUGCAAAUCCUAAAAUGGACCACAAGGGGUCAAAAAAAUCUAAAAUGACCCACUCAUAAUUUCUAUUUAUUUUCAGUUAAAAUUUAAAUAUUAAACAAAAGUAAAUAACUGAAAAACCAGAAGACAUUAACUUAUUUACAACCUGUGCCACUAUUAUCCUACCCAAAAUCCGACCCAUUUUCUGACCCAGAAUCCGACCCAUUUGUAACCCUACAUCCCCAAAUCAAAACACAAUCUCCUUCACCUCCCACAAUCCAAUUUUGUUGUUCUUGUUUUUAACCCAGAUUUAUAUUAUUGUUUUCUUGUUCUUAUCCCAAAUCGAUCGACCUAUUAUCAUCCUUAAUCGAUUUACUCUUAUCUGAAUCGAAUUUCAUCUUCGUUGUAAAAAAUUCGCGUCAAAGAAGAACACAGAGUAUUAAUAGUAUAACUAGUACAACUCAAACUAGUACAACUAGUACAACUCAAACCAGUACAUCUAGUAUAACUAGAGUGAGUAUAACCACUAUGACUAGUACAACUAGAACGCAUAUAACUAGUAUAACUUUGCAAUUAGUAUAGUGAUAUUUGGUUUUUGUUUUCAGCUUAUUAAUAAUGUUAUAGAAGAUGAUGAUGCAGAACCAAUGAAAAAUUGGUACAAUCCUCCCACCUAUAUGUAUUAAAAUAUUUUAAUAGUUUGUUUUCUAUAAUAUUUAAUUUUGAUAAUGAAUUUGUUUUACUAGUUGUACUAUUUAGGAAAAAAUCAUCUUCAUUCUUUUUGCUCUCGAAGCCGAAGAAGGUAGUUGCAAAGCCAGAAAAAUUAUAUUAGGUUAAGAUGUGUUUUGUAAUAGCCUAUAAUACAGCUAGAAGGAGUAUAACAUGUAUAUUAGUAAAACUGAAACGCGUAUAACCAGUACAACUCUCCAACUAAUAUGGUUAUAUUUUGUUUUAAAAGAGUAUAAUGCAAAGAUGAUGUAGAAGAUUUAAAAGAGUAUAAUGCAAAGAUGAUGUAGAAGCCCUCACGGGUUUGAAAAUGAUGGAUAGGCUUCAUGUUUGGUGUUUGUACUAUGACAAUAGUGUGGGAACCGAAAUUUCCACCGGUGGCGUCUGCACUCGCCGUUGAUUUUACCGGAGAAGACGCAAUCGCCUUCUUCGUCGCUGUGAUAGAGAGAGGCGGAGAGAUUGUUUUAUUUUUUAUUAGGGUUACGGGAAUUAGGGGUACAAUUUUCCCUUUAGAUUGUUUUUUUUUUAUUCUUUCCCCAUUUAAACAAACUGAUUUCCAUUUUUUUUAAAUACAAUUAAUCAUUUAUAAUGGGAUUAGUUUAAGGUUAAUUUUGGUAUUAUGAAGAAAAUUAUACUAUAGGGACAACUUUAGAUUGAAUUUAUACCAUAGGGACAACCAUUCUGUUUUUUUAUUCUGUUUUGGCAAUUUUCCCAAUAAAAUUUCUAUAAUUAAGAAGUUGAACCAGUAGUACCAAUAUUACAUGUCUAGUAUAUGAAUAUAUUUUUAAUUAUAUGAGUUGUACUAGUAGUAAACGUUUAAUAUAUAAUGAAAAGUUAUUAAAAAAUAACUAGUAAAUAAUAUUAAGUCAAAUAUAUUGCAAGAAAAUAUAUUAAUGAAAAUAAUACAGAAAAUUAUUUUUACUUUUAAAAAAAGAUAUCAAAUAUAUUCAUAGCAUAAUUUUAAUCUAUAAUUACAUAUUUAAAUGGGAUGAUAUAUUUAAGUUACAACAUGAUGCAUAUUUAAAAUAAUACUAAAUAAAAUAACAAGUAGUUGUACCAGUUUUCUAGUUGUACCGACUGUAAAUAGUUGUACUAGUUUUUGAGUUGUACCAGUUUGUGCAUAGUUGUAUUUUGGCAGUGAAAUCAUAAAAUAUUAGUUGUACCACAUAAUAAAUACAUUUUAUCUCAGUUGUACCACUUAUUUAUGUUUACAUGUCUUUGCCCGGUUACAAUGAAAUCAUCAAUUUUGUAAAACUACAUUUCAUGUAUGUUUUCCAAAACUUAUGUGGACAAACAAGUUAACAAACAUUAAAAGUAUAAGGUAGAUCAUGUAAACUUAUGGAAUUGUGUAAUAAUUUUUAUAUUUUUUUCUAAAACUUCAAUUUAAAUUAAGAGAAACUUUAUGAGUACAUACCAACUGGGAUAUAUGAUUGUUUUUCUCAUAUGAAAUACCAAAUUGGUUUUGUUAAUUUCUGAAACGUCGAAGUUGUACUAGUUAUACCAGUAAUACUAGUCUAAUAUAUAAUAAAAAUUAUAUAUAUAUAUAUAUAUUGGUUAUAUGUCUAGUUAUAAGGGUUGUACCAAUAUUUUCACAUCAUAGCUUUGUAAAAUAUGUUUGAUGUUUGAUUAUCAUAAAAAUAUGGCUAAUAUAGUUAAUAACCUUAAAAGUAUAAAUAUAUAAUAUAAAAUUAAGUGUGUAAUACAAUAAUAUAACAAAAAAUUGAAAAAUCUUAAACGAAUUAGAAGACAUUUUUGUCAUCAUAUACCAAUUAGAAUAUUUAUUUGUUAAUUUCAUGUGUAAAUUAUAAUAUUUUUAUACUAAUUAUAUAAUUUUUUAAAAUGUUUAGUUGUACGAGUUAUACUAGUUUUACCAACUCGAAUGAGAGAAUGAGAUAAGGAAGAUUGUGUGGAUGUGAGUGGCUGAGAUUAAAAAAAGAGAAGGAGGGAGAAUGAGACAUGUGUUAAAUUGUAUGGCCAAGAUUAAAACGUAGAUGUUAUGAUCCAAUGGCCCAUAUUACUCUUUCAUUAAUGGCAAAAUCGUCAUUUCCCUUUAAUUGGUCCAUGUUAGAUUUUUUUUGGAUGUUGUAGACUUUUUUUGACCAUUUGGUCCAUAAUAGAUUUUUGCAAAUCCUAAAAUGGACCACAAGGGGUCAAAAAAAUCUAAAAUGACCCACUCAUAAUUUCUAUUUAUUUUCAGUUAAAAUUUAAAUAUUAAACAAAAGUAAAUAACUGAAAAACCAGAAGACAUUAACUUAUUUACAACCUGUGCCACUAUUAUCCUACCCAAAAUCCGACCCAUUUUCUGACCCAGAAUCCGACCCAUUUGUAACCCUACAUCCCCAAAUCAAAACACAAUCUCCUUCACCUCCCACAAUCCAAUUUUGUUGUUCUUGUUUUUAACCCAGAUUUAUAUUAUUGUUUUCUUGUUCUUAUCCCAAAUCGAUCGACCUAUUAUCAUCCUUAAUCGAUUUACUCUUAUCUGAAUCGAAUUUCAUCUUCGUUGUAAAAAAUUCGCGUCAAAGAAGAACACAGAGUAUUAAUAGUAUAACUAGUACAACUCAAACUAGUACAACUAGUACAACUCAAACCAGUACAUCUAGUAUAACUAGAGUGAGUAUAACCACUAUGACUAGUACAACUAGAACGCAUAUAACUAGUAUAACUUUGCAAUUAGUAUAGUGAUAUUUGGUUUUUGUUUUCAGCUUAUUAAUAAUGUUAUAGAAGAUGAUGAUGCAGAACCAAUGAAAAAUUGGUACAAUCCUCCCACCUAUAUGUAUUAAAAUAUUUUAAUAGUUUGUUUUCUAUAAUAUUUAAUUUUGAUAAUGAAUUUGUUUUACUAGUUGUACUAUUUAGGAAAAAAUCAUCUUCAUUCUUUUUGCUCUCGAAGCCGAAGAAGGUAGUUGCAAAGCCAGAAAAAAUAUAUUAGGUUAAGAUGUGUUUUGUAAUAGCCUAUAAUACAGCUAGAAGGAGUAUAACAUGUAUAUUAGUAAAACUGAAACGCGUAUAACCAGUACAACUCUCCAACUAAUAUGGUUAUAUUUUGUUUUAAAAGAGUAUAAUGCAAAGAUGAUGUAGAAGAUUUAAAAGAGUAUAAUGCAAAGAUGAUGUAGAAGCCCUCACGGGUUUGAAAAUGAUGGAUAGGCUUCAUGUUUGGUGUUUGUACUAUGACAAUAGUGUGGGAACCGAAAUUUCCACCGGUGGCGUCUGCACUCGCCGUUGAUUUUACCGGAGAAGACGCAAUCGCCUUCUUCGUCGCUGUGAUAGAGAGAGGCGGAGAGAUUGUUUUAUUUUUUAUUAGGGUUACGGGAAUUAGGGGUACAAUUUUCCCUUUAGAUUGUUUUUUUUUUAUUCUUUCCCCAUUUAAACAAACUGAUUUCCAUUUUUUUUAAAUACAAUUAAUCAUUUAUAAUGGGAUUAGUUUAAGGUUAAUUUUGGUAUUAUGAAGAAAAUUAUACUAUAGGGACAACUUUAGAUUGAAUUUAUACCAUAGGGACAACCAUUCUGUUUUUUUAUUCUGUUUUGGCAAUUUUCCCAAUAAAAUUUCUAUAAUUAAGAAGUUGAACCAGUAGUACCAAUAUUACAUGUCUAGUAUAUGAAUAUAUUUUUAAUUAUAUGAGUUGUACUAGUAGUAAACGUUUAAUAUAUAAUGAAAAGUUAUUAAAAAAUAACUAGUAAAUAAUAUUAAGUCAAAUAUAUUGCAAGAAAAUAUAUUAAUGAAAAUAAUACAGAAAAUUAUUUUUACUUUUAAAAAAAGAUAUCAAAUAUAUUCAUAGCAUAAUUUUAAUCUAUAAUUACAUAUUUAAAUGGGAUGAUAUAUUUAAGUUACAACAUGAUGCAUAUUUAAAAUAAUACUAAAUAAAAUAACAAGUAGUUGUACCAGUUUUCUAGUUGUACCGACUGUAAAUAGUUGUACUAGUUUUUGAGUUGUACCAGUUUGUGCAUAGUUGUAUUUUGGCAGUGAAAUCAUAAAAUAUUAGUUGUACCACAUAAUAAAUACAUUUUAUCUCAGUUGUACCACUUAUUUAUGUUUACAUGUCUUUGCCCGGUUACAAUGAAAUCAUCAAUUUUGUAAAACUACAUUUCAUGUAUGUUUUCCAAAACUUAUGUGGACAAACAAGUUAACAAACAUUAAAAGUAUAAGGUAGAUCAUGUAAACUUAUGGAAUUGUGUAAUAAUUUUUAUAUUUUUUUCUAAAACUUCAAUUUAAAUUAAGAGAAACUUUAUGAGUACAUACCAACUGGGAUAUAUGAUUGUUUUUCUCAUAUGAAAUACCAAAUUGGUUUUGUUAAUUUCUGAAACGUCGAAGUUGUACUAGUUAUACCAGUAAUACUAGUCUAAUAUAUAAUAAAAAUUAUAUAUAUAUAUAUAUAUUGGUUAUAUGUCUAGUUAUAAGGGUUGUACCAAUAUUUUCACAUCAUAGCUUUGUAAAAUAUGUUUGAUGUUUGAUUAUCAUAAAAAUAUGGCUAAUAUAGUUAAUAACCUUAAAAGUAUAAAUAUAUAAUAUAAAAUUAAGUGUGUAAUACAAUAAUAUAACAAAAAAUUGAAAAAUCUUAAACGAAUUAGAAGACAUUUUUGUCAUCAUAUACCAAUUAGAAUAUUUAUUUGUUAAUUUCAUGUGUAAAUUAUAAUAUUUUUAUACUAAUUAUAUAAUUUUUUAAAAUGUUUAGUUGUACGAGUUAUACUAGUUUUACCAACUCGAAUGAGAGAAUGAGAUAAGGAAGAUUGUGUGGAUGUGAGUGGCUGAGAUUAAAAAAAGAGAAGGAGGGAGAAUGAGACAUGUGUUAAAUUGUAUGGCCAAGAUUAAAACGUAGAUGUUAUGAUCCAAUGGCCCAUAUUACUCUUUCAUUAAUGGCAAAAUCGUCAUUUCCCUUUAAUUGGUCCAUGUUAGAUUUUUUUUGGAUGUUGUAGACUUUUUUUUGACCAUUUGGUCCAUAAUAGAUUUUUGCAAAUCCUAAAAUGGACCACAAGGGGUCAAAAAAAUCUAAAAUGACCCACUCAUAAUUUCUAUUUAUUUUCAGUUAAAAUUUAAAUAUUAAACAAAAGUAAAUAACUGAAAAACCAGAAGACAUUAACUUAUUUACAACCUGUGCCACUAUUAUCCUACCCAAAAUCCGACCCAUUUUCUGACCCAGAAUCCGACCCAUUUGUAACCCUACAUCCCCAAAUCAAAACACAAUCUCCUUCACCUCCCACAAUCCAAUUUUGUUGUUCUUGUUUUUAACCCAGAUUUAUAUUAUUGUUUUCUUGUUCUUAUCCCAAAUCGAUCGACCUAUUAUCAUCCUUAAUCGAUUUACUCUUAUCUGAAUCGAAUUUCAUCUUCGUUGUAAAAAAUUCGCGUCAAAGAAGAACACAGAGUAUUAAUAGUAUAACUAGUACAACUCAAACUAGUACAACUAGUACAACUCAAACCAGUACAUCUAGUAUAACUAGAGUGAGUAUAACCACUAUGACUAGUACAACUAGAACGCAUAUAACUAGUAUAACUUUGCAAUUAGUAUAGUGAUAUUUGGUUUUUGUUUUCAGCUUAUUAAUAAUGUUAUAGAAGAUGAUGAUGCAGAACCAAUGAAAAAUUGGUACAAUCCUCCCACCUAUAUGUAUUAAAAUAUUUUAAUAGUUUGUUUUCUAUAAUAUUUAAUUUUGAUAAUGAAUUUGUUUUACUAGUUGUACUAUUUAGGAAAAAAUCAUCUUCAUUCUUUUUGCUCUCGAAGCCGAAGAAGGUAGUUGCAAAGCCAGAAAAAUUAUAUUAGGUUAAGAUGUGUUUUGUAAUAGCCUAUAAUACAGCUAGAAGGAGUAUAACAUGUAUAUUAGUAAAACUGAAACGCGUAUAACCAGUACAACUCUCCAACUAAUAUGGUUAUAUUUUGUUUUAAAAGAGUAUAAUGCAAAGAUGAUGUAGAAGAUUUAAAAGAGUAUAAUGCAAAGAUGAUGUAGAAGCCCUCACGGGUUUGAAAAUGAUGGAUAGGCUUCAUGUUUGGUGUUUGUACUAUGACAAUAGUGUGGGAACCGAAAUUUCCACCGGUGGCGUCUGCACUCGCCGUUGAUUUUACCGGAGAAGACGCAAUCGCCUUCUUCGUCGCUGUGAUAGAGAGAGGCGGAGAGAUUGUUUUAUUUUUUAUUAGGGUUACGGGAAUUAGGGGUACAAUUUUCCCUUUAGAUUGUUUUUUUUUUAUUCUUUCCCCAUUUAAACAAACUGAUUUCCAUUUUUUUUAAAUACAAUUAAUCAUUUAUAAUGGGAUUAGUUUAAGGUUAAUUUUGGUAUUAUGAAGAAAAUUAUACUAUAGGGACAACUUUAGAUUGAAUUUAUACCAUAGGGACAACCAUUCUGUUUUUUUAUUCUGUUUUGGCAAUUUUCCCAAUAAAAUUUCUAUAAUUAAGAAGUUGAACCAGUAGUACCAAUAUUACAUGUCUAGUAUAUGAAUAUAUUUUUAAUUAUAUGAGUUGUACUAGUAGUAAACGUUUAAUAUAUAAUGAAAAGUUAUUAAAAAAUAACUAGUAAAUAAUAUUAAGUCAAAUAUAUUGCAAGAAAAUAUAUUAAUGAAAAUAAUACAGAAAAUUAUUUUUACUUUUAAAAAAAGAUAUCAAAUAUAUUCAUAGCAUAAUUUUAAUCUAUAAUUACAUAUUUAAAUGGGAUGAUAUAUUUAAGUUACAACAUGAUGCAUAUUUAAAAUAAUACUAAAUAAAAUAACAAGUAGUUGUACCAGUUUUCUAGUUGUACCGACUGUAAAUAGUUGUACUAGUUUUUGAGUUGUACCAGUUUGUGCAUAGUUGUAUUUUGGCAGUGAAAUCAUAAAAUAUUAGUUGUACCACAUAAUAAAUACAUUUUAUCUCAGUUGUACCACUUAUUUAUGUUUACAUGUCUUUGCCCGGUUACAAUGAAAUCAUCAAUUUUGUAAAACUACAUUUCAUGUAUGUUUUCCAAAACUUAUGUGGACAAACAAGUUAACAAACAUUAAAAGUAUAAGGUAGAUCAUGUAAACUUAUGGAAUUGUGUAAUAAUUUUUAUAUUUUUUUCUAAAACUUCAAUUUAAAUUAAGAGAAACUUUAUGAGUACAUACCAACUGGGAUAUAUGAUUGUUUUUCUCAUAUGAAAUACCAAAUUGGUUUUGUUAAUUUCUGAAACGUCGAAGUUGUACUAGUUAUACCAGUAAUACUAGUCUAAUAUAUAAUAAAAAUUAUAUAUAUAUAUAUAUAUUGGUUAUAUGUCUAGUUAUAAGGGUUGUACCAAUAUUUUCACAUCAUAGCUUUGUAAAAUAUGUUUGAUGUUUGAUUAUCAUAAAAAUAUGGCUAAUAUAGUUAAUAACCUUAAAAGUAUAAAUAUAUAAUAUAAAAUUAAGUGUGUAAUACAAUAAUAUAACAAAAAAUUGAAAAAUCUUAAACGAAUUAGAAGACAUUUUUGUCAUCAUAUACCAAUUAGAAUAUUUAUUUGUUAAUUUCAUGUGUAAAUUAUAAUAUUUUUAUACUAAUUAUAUAAUUUUUUAAAAUGUUUAGUUGUACGAGUUAUACUAGUUUUACCAACUCGAAUGAGAGAAUGAGAUAAGGAAGAUUGUGUGGAUGUGAGUGGCUGAGAUUAAAAAAAGAGAAGGAGGGAGAAUGAGACAUGUGUUAAAUUGUAUGGCCAAGAUUAAAACGUAGAUGUUAUGAUCCAAUGGCCCAUAUUACUCUUUCAUUAAUGGCAAAAUCGUCAUUUCCCUUUAAUUGGUCCAUGUUAGAUUUUUUUUGGAUGUUGUAGACUUUUUUUUGACCAUUUGGUCCAUAAUAGAUUUUUGUCCGUGGCAGCGACUUGUGGCUCCUGGUUUCAUCAUCGUGGAUCAAGUCUACCCCGGUUGGGUUUGAUCUUUGAUCAAUCGUACCAUGCUGGCAGUUUUCGUCAGUCUUGAGCGAUGAAUCAGUUCAGUUGUCUCCAGCGAGAAGUUUUUUGCACUGGUCUCGAGCGAGAUGUCGGCUUCCUCAGUCUCGGGACGUUGGCUUCAUCGCGAUCUCAUCAGAUCUGUUGGGCCUAAAUUAUCAAACCAAAUGUGUAAAAUAAUAUAAGGCAAGAAUUGAAUAGAAAUGGGCCUACGGGUUAAUAAAAAGCCUUUUGGCUUUAAUGAAGAAACUGAGUAAAGUUUCACAUCGGUUGGGAGACUCAAUGUUGAGUUAUAUAUAUAUGGCUUCAUGCUAUGAGAGGUUAAACAGCUCAAGGGAGAGAAGGCUCACCAUGCGCGCCGCUGCCGCCGUCUAGUCGGCUUGGACUUUUGGCCCGAUAAGAAUUAUUUUUUUUUGACCAAGUUAAGCUCAACGUUGGUGGGCCAGCUUGAUGAUAAUGAACCGUAGAGAGUACUAGACCUAAUGCUUGUAUCAUAUAGAUGAUCCAGUGGUGGGCUUCGCCGACUAAACCCAACUCUAUCUUGCCCAUAUAAUAUCAUCGACAGUAGGCCAGAAGUACUGAUGGGCUAUGCAUGAGCCAGACCUCACAAAAACGAUAAAAAAAUGGUAACUCAAUCAUGAAAAUGUACAGUUUUGUAGCUGAUAAAAUCUCUUUGUUGUUUUGAGUUUGUUUCUUUUGUGUGGAUCUUGUGUGAGAGAAACUUAGAUACCGAUUGUAUAGCAAGUAUAUUUUAGCUGCUGAAGAAGUCUUGAUAGAUGUUGCCUAACUCUUAUUAGAGUUAAUGAAAUUGUUGUAGUUUAUUGUUUAUUUUUUGGGUUGUUGUGGAGGUCACACUAUUGUCAGGCUUGUAUGAGGAUUAUUUAUUGUCGAGUGGUGGGUCUCAUGUGGGGUUAUUGUCGGGAUUACUUAUUGAUUUUAGGCCUUGAUUUUAUGUAAGGUUAAUUUUUUUUUUUUUUUUGAUAUUCUAUAUUGACGAGAAUUCAGUGAAAGUCAAUGGUGGACAAUUUAAAAAGGAAGAAGGGGUCUUGACUUUCGUUGAUGGAGAACUCGUUUUGUUCACGGUGGAUUUAGCUUUUGUCUUCACAGCUUUGGUGUUAAAGCUGUUUGAGAGAAGGAUCGUUAUUGGGAAAAUGUGGUUCAAGCUCCCUUCUGAAAGUCUUGACGUGUAAGCCUUUGUGCGGAAAAGUGGAGCUUAACAAGAAGAAUUUGGAAACAGCAGCUCGAUGGUAUAAAUAAGUUGACAUAUACAUUGAAAAAUCUGUUUCUGAAGAGGAUAAAGAGACGAGCUUACAUGAAAAAGAGAAAGAGAAUCAUGAAGAAGCAGAAGGUGGUAAUGUACAAUUCACACCCAAAAAACCAGCGGCCAAGAUUCUUAUGUCCAAGACGUGAACACCUUUGAUGGCAUACGACAAGCACACAUUUUUGCUACCACCACAACCUAUGUAACUAAUGUUGCUUGAUGACCACGAUCUUAGAUCCAUCUAUCGAACAAAUCAAUAACACCCUAACAAUUGAACAAAAAGGAAAUAUCUCUAUACAGUGUUUAACGAUUAUUACAUGUUUCGGUAUGUGGAAAUGCGUUCCUCGACUUCGAUUUUGGUGUAUAGGUUCUUCGACUCUCUAAUCUUCGAAAGAGACAAUAUAGAGUUGAAGCAAUCGUGUUGGGUCAUAUUUUUAUUUAAUUGGGUCGGAUGGGUCAGAGAAAUCAUUUAGCAGACCGACCGAAAAACUGACGGUUUUAAUGUCUUCGGCGUCCAUGUGACGACUUCUGAUUAAUGUAAUUAGGCUUGUGAUGUUCAUUAUAUGACAUCAUAAAUUUGAAGGAUGUUAGCAUGUAUAACAUAUAUUUCAUGUGGGUAUAUAUACAUUAGUUUAUUUUGCAUGGUUAGCCAUGUGAUGUGAUGGUCAGUAUGUACAUCAGGUAGUUAUCAACCAUUUUUCCAAAAUAAAAUACACCAACAGUAUUGUUGUUUUAAAUUUAUUACGUAUGUUGGAAACAUGUAUUGGACAAUAAAAAAUAGGGUAAAUAUAAAUGCAUCUUCAUCAUACAGAACAAUGCAUUCUAUAUUCUAUUGGACAAUGUUUGCCAAUAUACAUUGAUUAAGGAAAAAUAAACUAAAAUUUCCGGGAACAAGCACUAAGACAACAAUGUUCCAAGAAGAUAUCACUUCUCUUUAUUCUUGUUUUGUUUUCUUAUAAUGGGUGUUAAAGUUCAAAGUCCAAACUAAUCUAUACAUGCACAUAAAAACAAGGACUUUGCAAAAGACCCUAAAGUGCUUAAAACUGAAAAUUCAUUUUAUGACCUGAAAAUAAAUUUAAACCGAAGCCAUAUUUGAUUCAAGAAGAUGAAAAACAUAAGGCCAUUUCUUGAGCAGCUUGCUUGAAAAUUUCCGCAGCUCCAAACCCAUCUCCCAAUAACUGAUUCUCAUAGCUCGGCUUUACCUGUUCCAUUACAAAGAAAAGAACCAUCAUAAAUAACAAAAACUACAACAUAUAACAUGAACAUGUUAUGACCAUAAUAUAUAUUAUACUUGUGCUUGGAUCAUGUAGGUGCUCCGGAAAACAUUAGAGGAGACACUAGCAAAUAUAACGUCAAUGUUAUACUUCUCAAACAAGUAACACAUAUUAGUGAAAACCCCUGAUUUGUCUUUAGGGCAACACAAACUGAAGAAAGCUUCAUUUCCACAGAUAUUCAGCACGGCGUUACGUGUGGACCAAGUAUCAAACUCAGCAGUCGGGUCAUCACAAGGGUAGGGCAGGUUCAUGCUGGAAGAAGAUAUCUGAUUGGCCAAUAAAGCUUCACGGGAGUAAGAAUCUGCUGAGGCGGCACCUACGGGAAGGAUAUGGGGCUGGUUUGAUAUUGGUGUGAGGAGAAUUGUAGGAGAAGAAGAUGGAUCAUAAGGGAAAGCAGUAGUAGCUGUUGUGUUUGAAGCCGAAGAAUAUUGAAGUUUCUCGAGUUUUCUCAUCUGGAGAUUAUGUAAAGUUUGUUCAAGGGAUUUGAUGGAGCUCACUGCCUCGUCUACGAUUGUUGAUUUGUCUGCCUGUGAAUCAUGGAUUAAAAUAGUAUUUAAUACAUGAUUUUGCGUAACGUAAGAUAUCCGACACAUUAACAUCCCCACAAAUAAAGUAUAACAAAAAGGAACCAAGGAAUCGAAAGCCUGGCAGGUUUGCCAAAUUACACCAAAUCUAAGUGACAUAUAUAUAUAUAUAUAUAUAUAUAUAUAUAUAUAUAUAUAUAUGUUUGUGUUUAUAUAAAGCGAAAGGAUACGAAACUUAACUUGAAAAGGAAGAAGCAUAAAUAGUUGAAUAAAUCGAAAUCUAAAAUAUAAUUUUUUUUUUUUUUUGAGAAAAUGGCUAAACAUAACUUUUUCUUGCUACUAAAAUUAACAUAAAUUAAAAUUCCUCAAACCAAUGAAGAUUUGACAUUUUGAUUUAUGUGCGAUCACAUCAUCUGCGCCUUAAACAAUUGUUCUAGAUGAAAAAAAGACCACAAACGAUUUAGAUAAAUUGUUCUAAAACAUAAUCUUAUGUUAGUUGUUUGAGAAAUCGUUUGUAACUAAUAUAUAUAUAUAAGAAUGAGAACCGUAUCUAAGUUGAUACUAACUAUCUUUCAUGAUGUAAUAAAAAGAAUGAACUUUUUUAAAGGUAAGAUUUGCAGAACUAAAUAAGAUGGAUGAGGUUGACAAAAAAAAGAUGGAUGAGUAUAUAAUUUCAUUUCACAAAAAUUCCUCUUUUGAAGAGUUGGAUAAGACUGAACCAUCUCCACAGUAUUAUAUGAUUAGUGUUCAUACGCAUAAUUUCUUUAUAAAACACAGUAACCUGAUCCACAUGCAAAUUACCUAUCGAAAACUGGACUUAAUACGAAAAAAAAUAUGAAGACUAAAAAAGCAUUGAUAAGUCGUUUAUUAUUUAAUCAGGUAUACCUUAGGAGGAAGUUGGGGAAGCAAAGCAUGUAGUUUAGCAAACAUAUCUCUCAUCUUCUUCCUCCUUUCUCUUUCAGUCCAUAUAUGUAUUUCAUGAUCGGGUGAUUCUUCUACAUGAUUUUUCUCAUUUCUUUGGGUCCUCUUUUUUCCUUUUGAAGCUUUCUUAUCGGAUGUCGGAAUUUCAGACGGAUGAGAAGGACGCAUUAGAGGCGGUUGCUUGUCGAUUCUCUUGCAGCCACCUUGAGAAUCAUCAGAAUUGGAUAUGCCCCACACAAUACUCUCUUGCCCCAACUCUUGAGCAUUAGUCAUAUUGAACUGAAUGCUCAUUUUACCUUUUUGCUUUGUUGUAUUUAUUAUGCUUCUAUGAAUGUCUUAUAUAAAAGAGAGAGACGUUUAAAGAUGGUGAAAGAAAGAGAAAUAGGAGGAGAUAUAAAUAAAAAGAUAAGUGAACUAUUAGGAAAAGUCCAAAAUAUUAUCGAAACCGUUACUAAGGCAUCAAAAUAAAAACGAUGUAAAAGUUUUUAUUCGAAGCAGUUGUGUAGUUUUAACCUGAUAGUACUAAAAUAUGAUACGUAGUGUACCAUUAGUCUACCACGAUCCUACGUUAUAACGUUCAAUGCACUUGCCCAUAUAUUACAUAUAAAAUGGAAAAUUCGUUUCUAUGAAGGAAACAAAAAUUUACCAGAAUAUUGAUUUACGAGUUAACUCAUCAUUAUGCCACAACACCCUGAUUUGUCUUUAGCAUAUUUUGGUUCUCAACGUUCGGAUUAUUGUGUGGAACAGUGAAGUUAAUCAGAAUAACAGUUGUACAUGAAGUGUAUUUUGUAAAACGUUCAAAUCAAAUAACGUAUAUUGUAUAAAUUAUUUGUUUUUAUUGUUCUUUGGAAAUGCCGAAAAUAGGUUCCAAAACAUAUUUAUUUUUUUUACUUUACUCAAAAUUUCCAAUCUGUGUCAGUACUACUUUAAAUAAAUCUAUAUAAAAGUUUGAAAUUUAGUUAUAAUUAUGAGAUAGACACACAAAAAUACAAAAGAUAUACAUAAUACAAUGCUUAAUCAGAAGAUUUCUCUUGGGGAUCAUGGUACCAUUUUUUAUCUUUACCACCACUAAAGACACAUUUUCAAAAAUCUCUUCUUCAUUAAGUAACAAAAUACUCUUAUAUCUUUGUUAUCUAUAUAUAAUAAAUUAUUAUUUAAAUAAAUAAAAAUAAAAAAAUAUAUAAAAAACACUCUAAUUAUGACCAAUUUUCAAAAAUAUAAUUUCUCUAUCAAAGACUAAUUUAGAAAAUUUAAUUUAUUAAACUAGAAAUAUCAUUAGAGUACUAAGUAUUUCAACGAAUUUUUCAAGAUUUUUCGCUAUUCAUUUACCAGUUUAUUUUAUCUGAGAAGCAAAGAGCUCAUGUACCUAGUACUAAUAAAAUUGGAAACCACUAGAGAAAACAAACUGAAUACUUAAAUAUUUGAUGGUAAUAUAUUAUAGAAUAUAUUUAAAAUAAUAAAAUGCCAAUGAUUAAAGAAAAUUUCUAAUAUGUCAUGCACAACUCACUAGUCAAAUAUUUUAUGUGAUAUUUCAUUUGAUUAAUACUACGCGCUAACUCAAAAAUAAAGCAACAUAAAUGAAAGAAGUUACUCUUAAUUGAAAAAGUUGUUACUCUGAUUUUAAAAAGAUGAAAAGCUAAACUUAAGAUCCUUAAUUAACUUGUGAUUAUGUUAACUGUCUAAUAAUUAUGUGGUGGUAAAAGCGAGCGUUAUCUUCAUGGUUUUCAGUGCAUGUAAUCAUUGACAUCCAGAGAUUCAAUUGUCUUUUUCUGAUUUUCUUUUGAAGUUAAUAUAUAAAAAACACUUUUUACACUUAACUUUAAAUUGUCUGAAUAUGCUCAUAUUCACUUGUGAAGUUGCAAGUUUAAACGGACUAGAUUUCGAUACACUUUUACAUGUAUAAGCAAAAUUUUGGUAAGUCUUGUGUUAUGUAACGUGGCAAUCAUUCACACAUCACAAUUCUCGAGUCCAAUAUCUGAGCGAUAGAAAAGGGGAAAAAACUAUUAAGAAACUCAAACACAUUAUUAUUAUUAUUAAUUUUCCACACUUUUAUGGUUCAGAAAAGUUUCACAUUUUCUAUGUUUCCAUAAUUUCUUAUGUACAGAAAUCUACACAAACAAAAUAAUAAAUUAAAAAUUAAAAUUUAUUUUCUAAAAAGAAGAUGAUUUCACCUUUUUGCUGAUAAUCCAAAUAAUGUAAUAUAUUUUUUCCAACGAAGAUUGAAUUCGAGUGGUGAAGUGCAUACUAAACACUCUUUUAUCACUAGGCCAACAACUUGUUGAUAGAAAAAUAUUAACAUUACGUGUUCAUAGUUUUCUGGGUAACCUAGCAUUUCAUAAUCUUAAUCUUCAAACAUACAGUAGAUUGAGAGAAAUUAUACAUCUUCUUUUAUUACAACAAUGAAAUUUUAAAACAACAUAAGUUAAAGUACAUAUUUUCUCCUGAAGAAAAUGAUAGCGAACAUGUAACUAUUUAAAUGCAUGGAUAACAGACUCACGGUGUAACUGCAUUCAGAAAACAUAAUUAAUCACUUGUGUGUUUUUGAUAAAUAUGAUGUGAUGUUGAGGACCACCUGUACCUCAUGAAUUCAUCGAUAAGAAGAAUCCAAUUACAUUUUUGGUCUCGUAUAGAACACUAUACAAAUAUCAAAACAGUGAAGCAGUUGGGAAACUUUCUGGUAUUGCAGCUAUCUCUCACAGAGAGAAGGGAUGGUGGGAAUUUUUCUUUUUGACCGGAGAGUAAGAUGAUGAAGAUCUCCCAUUCUCCCCCGUUGGGAGGAAGGUAAUAAUCAAAUUUACCAAUAGUCUUGGGACAGAUCCUUUAAAAUUCACACCUGUUACGGGGUGAUAAACAAAUGAAUCAGACCUACUAACCAGAUAAUGGCUGCAUGUGUUAUAAAUUAAGUUUUACAAAACUAUGUUUAUAAUUCUUAACAUUUAAUGUUUCUUAUAAUAUGAUUUAUACAAAUUUAAAGAUUACAUACAAUAAGUCAACUAUAUCACUACAAGAAAACAUAUUUUUUACGAGGGCAAUAUACGUUGUAACUUCGUCGUAAACGGGGUGUUACGACGAAUGAACCGCGAAACACGUUUCGUCGUAAAACGCCCGUCGUAACCGACGUUUCGUCGUAAAUGACUUGUUAAGUUUACGACGAAAUAUAUUCCUCGUAAAGCGCAGGGCAGAGAUUCGUCGUAAACGACAUGUAAAAUUUCGUGGUAAACUCCACGUAAUGGAUUCGAUGUAAAGCACACGUAAACAUUUUCGUUGUAACAUCCUCGUAAAUGUUUCGAUGUAAACUACACGUAACAGUUCGAUGUAAAGACCACGUAAAAUCUUCGAUGUAAAAGACUCGUAAUUAUUUUCGACGGUAAUCAGUUGUAAAUGUUUACGUCGAGCCUACAUCGACGUUUCGUUGUAUAAUAUAUUUUGAAUAUUAUUUUUAACCUCAAAUAUAUAUAUAUAUAUAUAUAAAUUUGAAUUUAUUUAAAAUUCUGAAUUUUAAAUAAUUUUAAUUUUAAAACGAAAUAUGAAAAUAAAAAACAUUUAUAAAAAAGCAUUUAAUAUUAAAAAAACUACAUAUCAUCGAAGUAGUCGGUGGGGUUGCUCGGCUGUUGACGGGUUGGAUCGGACUCUUGGGGAUCUCGUACUGGCAACCCAAGAGCGGCUCGUCUCUGACUCAACAUUCUCUGCAUAACCGGGUUUCCCACGGCCAUCACGUCUAGCAAAUCCUCAAGAGAGUCUAAACGAACCUGCUGGCUAUCCAUUCGAGCUUUCAUCUGAGAAGUCUCUUCAUCCCGUCUCGAAGUGUAUGACGAAGUUGCCCUUGCAACUUGGUUAACAGAGCCUAUACCGACUAUUCGUCCCUUCUUUCUAGGAGCCAGCUAUAAAAUUAAAACAUAUAUUAAUAUAGUUAUUAAAAAUAAUGUAAACAAAAAUUUUUAGUUGUACUACCUCUUCGAAGAUUCUGUCGGCUUCUUCGGUGGACAAUGUGACGGGUAAUCCAUCGGGAGACUCCUGAGUUAGUUGCGUCUCCCGUUCUUCAAUCCGAGUAGCCACUGCUUGAGCGAGUUUCUCAGAUGCAGGAUCCACAAAAACUCCGUCGAAUGUGGCGUGAGUCAUCUUGAAUAGGUCAGACAGAGAUGGUAAGACUCCCGUCUUCUCCAACUACAAAAAAAAAAUAUUAAAAAUUAUAUUAAUUGAAUAUUUUAAAAUAAAUAUUUAAAAACAAAACUUACAACUUCUAGACGGAUGCCUGCAUGUGGUUUUUGGCCGGUUCUGUGAAGCAUGGGCAAAUUACCAUCUUUAUUCUUCGUUCUUCGAGAAGCCGAGCACGAAUUGGCCUUUUUGAUCGAAGAGGGGUGCUUCCAGUAGGCGAUGAGGCCAUCCCACACAUCCUUCGUGAGCUCAGUGGGCUUUCCCUCAUACCCGUCGAGCUCCCACUUGUCCUUCCAAUCGGAGACUGUGUUGCAGAGGCGGAUCUUUGCUUUUGCAACGAAUUCCGCCUUCACCAUCUCGGUGAUUCCCAAAGACCAAUGCCACUUUUGCUGAAACACAAAAAAUUUGAAAAAUUACAAUUAAUAAUAAUAUUUAAAAAAUAUAUACAUAUUUAAAAGUGAAAAUUUAAUUAAAUUUAAAAAUCUUACCGCAAACAUUUUAAACCAAGUGAUCUUAACGUGAUUUGGAGUCUUGCUCCAGUUCGGAUAUGCCCCGUCGUAGUAACCUUUAAUCGUUUUCGAAACGCUCCGGCCAACACGGUUGUUAGCCCCAAACCUGAAAGGAAAACAAUUUAACCGUUAAAAAAUAAAAAUAAUUUAAAUUUUAAUGUAAUAAAAAUUAAUAACUUACCAAUAAGUUCCUCGGGGUCUAUCGGGGUCUAGAACAUCCAAACCCUCCCGUCCAGGCUGGGCAAGCAAAUCCUCUACCGUAUAUCUCGCGAAUGGGGCAUAUGAAGGCACACGCAAAUCCGGAUGAACUGCACCUUCUGGGACAGGCUCAGGUGCAGCCGCUGGAGGAGGAGGUGGAGGCAUAUGCGGUGGAGGCAUUUGCGGUGGAGGCAUAUGCGCUGGAGGAGGGUUGUUUUGGCUGCUGAUGACAACCGGAAGAUGGGAACAGGAACGUUUCCAUUGCUCUUGAUAUGUAACUCACUUCUUGAGCAAAUAUCAGGUAAGUCCAUCCUUGACUUUUUGUUAUCUUUUGUCUUCCCAGGGACGUUAAGUAAUGUAUUCAUGAUGUUCUCAAAAAAGUUUUUCUCGAUAUGCAUGACAUCCAGAUUGUGGCGUAAGAGAAGAUCCUUCCAAUAGGGUAGCUCCCAAAAUAUACUCUUCUUAUGCCAAUUGUGAGAUACACCAUACCCAUCAGGCAUAUUUCCAGGAACAUGCCAAUUUCCUCCAACCUUAACUGUUUCCUGAGCUCCGUAAUAAUCAAUGUCCGCUUCGAUCUGCUGGCCGGUGAGAUAUGGAGGAGGACUGUCUCUCACAAAUUUUUUGUGUCGAAACAAUGUCUUAUUUCUUCUGUACGGAUGGGCAAGUGGAAGAAACCGACGAUGACAAUCAAACCAACAACUCUUCCUACCAUUCUUCAGUUGAAAAGCAUCCAUGGAUCCAAGACAAUACGGACAAGAUAAUCUUCCAUGUGUUGUCCAGCCAGACAACAUCCCAUAAGCAGAAAAAUCACUUAUCGUCCACAUCAGAACUGCUCGCAUCGUAAAAUUGUUUUUCAAGGAACAAUCGUACGUCCUCACCCCUUCUGACCACAAUUGCUUUAGCUCUUCUAUCAACGGUUGAAGAAAAACAUCAAGAGACCGUUUUGGAUGCUUCGGCCCUGGGAUUAAUAUGGUCAAAAAUAGAAAUUCUUGUUCCAUGCACAUAUCCGGCGGUAAAUUAUACGGCGUAAGAAUGACUGGCCACAAAGAAUAUUGUCUACCAGACAUUCCAAAUGGACUAAAUCCAUCGGUGCAUAACCCAAGAUAGACAUUCCUAAUAUUUGUAGCAAAAUCUCCGUGUACCUUGUUGAAAUGUUUCCACGCUCUUGCGUCUGAUGGAUGUGCAACCUCACCAUCUCUCUGGACAUGUUCGGCAUGCCACCUCAUCGACGCAGCAGUCCUCUCAGAUAGAUAUAAUCUUUUCAAUCUGUCUGUAAUUGGUAGGUACCACAUCCUUUGGUACGGUACCCUAUUCCUCCCACGGCCUUGCGGUUUGAAUCGUGGUUUUUUGCAGAACGACACUCUUCUAACUUGUCAUCUUCCUUCCAGUAGAUCAUGCAGUUGUCGAUGCAAACAUCAAUCAUCUCCGAGGGUAACCCAAGACUAUAAACCAAUUUCUGAAUCUCAUAAUAAGAUUCAGCAGACACGUUGUCUUCUGGCAAAUACUCUUUAAACAACUCCGCCCAUGCAUCCAUGCAAUUCUCAGGUAAAUUAUGAUCCGUUUUAAUAUUCAUCAUCCUAGCUGCUAGAGACAAUUUAGAGAGACCUUCUCUACAACCAGUGUAGAUUGGUUGAUUUGCAGCAUCUAGCAUUUCAUAAAACCUUUUUGCAUCCAAAUUAGGUUCUUUUACAUUUCCAGUUCCAUCUGCUAUUGUUGUAGUUGUUUCUAAAAAUGCAUCACUAAUCAUAUCUUGAACCCUAUCAUGAUCUACCAUCUGCUCCUCUUGAUGAUAAUUAUGUUCAUUAUGCACAUGAUUCAGUUCUUCAUUAUGAUAAGCAUCCUCAAAAUUAGCAUUACUACUACUAGCUUCAUUUCCCCCAUAACCCUCUCCAUGUUGAUACCAAAUGUAGUAUUGUGGUGUAAAUCCUUUGUUUACUAAAUGAUUCCAUACAGUUUCACUACGUGCAAAUUUUGAAUUCUUGCAUUUUGAACAGGGGCAGAACAUCUUACCGCUUUCCUGCGUGAUCGGUGUACAGCCCGCCUGGUGCAUGAAUGUCUCUAGUCCGUUCAGAAAUGCAUUCGUCACUCUCCCGUUGGAAUCUUUGUGCAAAUACAUCCAACUUCGUAACUCGUAAAUACUACCGCCACCGACCAUUUUUUCUUCUAUUUUUUUAUAAAUUUUUUUUUUUCCGUUUGGGUCUUGUGAGGAAGAGAGUUGUGUGUUGUGAGGAAGAGAGUUGUGGGAAAUGACAUAUAUAUAGAGAAAUUUUCGAGUUGGGUAGUUGAAAUAUAACAACGAUUUUACAAGGAAACUUUUACAUGGAUUUUACAUAGUUUUUUUACAACGACUUUACAACGAACUUCGAUAAGUUUUUCACCUAAAUAUAACGGUAACAUGAUUCGUUGUAAUAUUGAUGUAAAGUUUUCUUUUCGACGUACUUACGUCGUAAUAUUACAUGGGGUUUACGACGAAAUUUGGUUUCGUUGGUUUCGUCGUAAUUGCGUUGUUAACCCACCAUUUACUAUUUCUAAGACAACGAUAAGGAACCUGUGUCGUUCGUCUGUCUGCCAAUUCAGUGGAACGACAAGGAGAAAGUGGACGGAAGUGCAGCUGGUUUGUACUUGAGAGGAACCUUUGACGAUGAUCGGAGGUUCCACUCAAGUAUAAACCAACUGCACUUCCCUCCAUUUUCUCCUUGUCGCUCCACUGAAUUGGCAGACAGACGAAUGACUCAUGUUCGUUAUCGUUAUCUUCGAAAUAGUAAUUGGUGGCUGAAUGAGGAGUUGUGUGUUGUGAGGAAGAGAGUUGUGUGUUGUGAGGAAGAGAGUUGUGGGAAAUGACAUAUAUAUAGAGAAAUAUGAGAAGUUUUACAUGGAUUUUACAUAGAAAAUUUACAACGCGUUUACAACGAAUUUAGGUAAGUUAAAGCACAUUGAAUACACGUUUUCACCUUUAUAUAACGGUAACACGAUUCGUCGUAAUGUCGAUGUAACGUUUACAACUAUUUUGCAUUCCACGUACUUUCGUCGUAAACUUACAUUGACUUUACGACGAAAACGUUUCGUCGUAAAUUACCAUGGAGUUUACGACGAAGUUAUGUCUCGUCGUAAUUGCGUUGUAAAGCGUAUGUAAAUUUACGAGGAAAUUAUUUCCUCGUAAAACGCCGUUGUUACUGCUACGUUUUCUUGUAGUGUAUCUUAAUUUAUCUCAAGUAAUUUUUUUUUCCAAAAAUCUCUACACGAAAACAAAUCAACAAUCUCCGUUUUCCGCUAUCCCUAUUUUCUACCACUCACUUUCUCCAUACAUUUAUCGUUGAUUACCAUUUUAAUAAAAUCUCCAAAGAAAAAAAUCCAUCAAUUUUUAUCAGAAGAUAUAACUUUUUUUCUAUGUUCGUUUAGAUGGAUUUAUCACAACUAAUACUAGUACUACUAGUAAAAGAAAAAAUGAAUUGAAUAUUAUAGAAAAAUCCUAACAAGUUUACCCCAACAAAUUUCAUUUGAAAUCCCAAGAAAUUUCAAAUAUUAAACAUAAUAUUAUGAGUAGAUCCGAAGAGGUUGUACUAAAAUAUAACAUGAAAACUUAUAACACAUAAUCUCAAAUGACCACUACUCAAACAGUGAUUUAAAAAAUUAACUUUUAUUGGAUUUUUUCCAAAAAAAUAAUUCUUAAUAUUUUUCGAGUAAUAUUGUUUUUCCAAAAAUCUCUACACAAAAACAAAUCAACAAUCUCCGUUCUCCACUAUCCCUAUUUUCUACAACUCACUCUCUCCAUACAUAUAUCGUUGAUUACUCUUUCUAUAAAAUCUCCAAAGAAAAAAAUCCAUAAAUUUUUAUAAGAAGAUGUAACUUUUUUUUUCUCUGUUCAUUUUGAUGGAUUUAUCACAACUAAUACUGCUAAUACAAUUAGUAAAACAAAUCAUCAAUCAAAUAUUAUAGAAAAUCCCAACAAGUUUGAAACCCCAACAAAUUUCAAUUAUGAGUAGAUCCGAAGAGGUUGUACUAAAAAAUAACAUGAAAACUUAUAACACAUAAUCUCAAAUGACCAUUAAUCAAACAGUGAUUUAACAGAAUAAAAGCUAUGCUUAUAAGUUGCCUGAACAAAGUUGCAAAGUUGUAUUAAUUAUACAUUUUCUAGUUGUACCAGCUAUACUAAUUAUUUGUGUUCUAGUUGUAUCAGUUAUAGUAAUUAUAUGUGUUUUAAUUGUAAAUGUUAUGCUAGUUAUAUGCGUUCUAGUUGUACUAGUAAUACUUUAUGUUCUUUGUUGUCGUGAAUCUUGUACACUGAAGAUAAGAUUCAGUUUUAUAUGAAAUAAAACUGAAUUGAGAAUGAUGAUGGAUUGAUCAAUUUGGGAUAAGAAGAAAAAUUGAAGGUUUGAAGAUUUUUUUCUAUCUCGAUUUGGACUAUGGGAUAGCAAAUCUUGAUAACCAAAUGUGAAUUUAAAAGUUGGGUUUCUAGGGUUGUGAAUUGGGUCAAGUAUCAGGUGGGGAGGUGGGGCAUGAUCCAUGUUGGUGUAGGAUGGAAGUUGCAUGAGGUUGUAAAUAAAUUUAAUUACUUAAGUUUUUUUGUCAUCAACAUAAAUAGAUUCAAUUAAGUUUCUCGUACAUUACAUUGUCCAUAUGAGAGCUUCUACCUCAGAGUGUAAAGGUGGUAGAGUUGGUUUCGUAUUCCUUGCACCCAUCAAUCCCUUCAAGCCUUAUAAUAUACUAUACAACCAUGUGAAUAUUUUUUUGGUCCUUUAAAAUUUACUAAAUUUAAUUACUUAAGUUUUUGGUUGUUUUACUUACUUAAAUUUAAAUAUUAAAUAAAAAAAAUAAGACGGUCCAUUUUUGAAAAUGUUAGUCCCUUGAAAGCCGUGUGAGACAAUGAUACGAGAAACAUUUAGCCUAAAUUCUUGUGACCCAGUUUUACCACACUAAGCGCAUGAAACAAUUAAGUUAUAUAAUUAAUGUCAAUGUUGGUUAAUGUCCUUGUUCUACAACGCGGAAAAUAGAAAAAACAACUUGAAUCUUUGAUGAUUUUUGGCUCGGAAAUAUGUGUCUAUCAUAUGUUUUAGAGCAAUUUUUUCAAAUGGCUAUUUUUAAUUUUUUGUCACCAAAAGAUCUCACAAGGAGGAAAAUGACCAAAUUUUUUUUAUUUAAACGGCAAAAGAUCUUUAUAACUCUUGCUUUACUGAUAUAAAAAUAUAAAUAAAUGAUUAAAAUAAAUUAUAUUUUCGAAUUAUAUGUUUUCAAAUUUGAGCUUUAUUAUAAAUUUUCUAUUUUCAAAUAAAAUUUCAAAAUUUCUUUUCAAGAUUUUUCUUUUUCAAAUUUUCUUUUUGAAGUUCCAAAAAUGAUGUUUGAAACUAAUUUAAAAAUUUUGUUUUGAAAUUUUUAAUUUUAAUUUUAAUAUUAAACUCUAACCCUUAACUCUAAGAGCAUCUCCAAAAACACUCUCUUUUAAAGUUUCCAAAACUUUAUAUUUGAAGAUUCAAGGUGUUAUUUUCCAAAAGCAAAACUUCAAACGUAACCUGAAAAUUAUUUAUAUUUUACACUAUAAUCUUUAUAUUUGUCAUAAUUAAUCAAAUCCAUAUAACUUUUAUAAAUAACUAGCACAUAUAUAAAAAUAUUACAACAAUAUUAAUUACUAUAAUCUUGCACUAAAAUAUAAAAUUGUAAAUAGAAAUACAUAAUUAAUUAUUAAAAUACAAGCAAAAUACCACAUUAUUCCAUAAAAUUAUUUCCAUAAUGCUCCAUCUUUGGUUACAAAAAAAACAAUUUGGAUAAUAUUUUGGAGAUUUUGGAGGUUCUGAAAAAAAUUAACAGAUUAUUUUUUUCGUUUGAUAUUUAAAUUUGUGUAAUAAUUAUGUCUUCAUGUACCUUUCUAAAAAUUUUUUUAUCAAGUUUAUUUUGUAAUAUUCUUGUUUUCUAAUUCUCAUUUUCAAAUAUUAUAAACCUUAAUCUAAAAUUUUUAUUUAAUUUAUGUGUAAAAAUUCAAUUUAUAAAAACAAAUUUUAAAUAUUUAUGAGAUAUAAAAAAUUAAAUUAAUAUGAUAAUUGAGAAAAUACUUCAAAAUCAUAAUUGUGAUGUGUAAUUAAUUGUAAGGACAAAAAUGUAAAUAAAAAAAUGAAACUUCAAAUUUGAAGUUUUGAGUUCCAUUUUGGAUAGAAAAAACUCUAUAUUUAAAGUUAUAGUGUUUCUUUUGGAUAUGCUCAAAAUCCUAAGUCUAAAUUAAUUAAGGGAGAAUUGGGAAAAACAGACACUUUCAAUUUUUAUAUGUCCAAAUAGGAUUUUUGAUACUUUUGGACAUGUUUUACCCUUCUAUAAUGGAAAAAAUAGUAAACUAAAAUUUUAAAAUAUUAAAAAAUAUGAAAACCAUUUGAAACAUUAGUAUGACUAUUUAUAUAUUUAUUUAAACAAAGGUAAAUGUUCAGAAACCCUAUAAGUUCUGCAUCUUAAUUAUAUCAAACAGAAAGCGCAAGAGACCUUGGAUAAUUUACGGGAUGCAAAUAGGAACUCUCCUGUCAGCACCACGCGGUCGCUCUGUAUCUCUGAUGCUACAGUUGGAGAGUCCAUCAGUGACUUCCACAAACUCUGUUGUGCCACCGCAUGGUUGUUAUCAGGGUACAAAACACAAGCCCUGCAAAACAUAAGAGCAUAGACUCACUGUACUGUUCCCAAAAGAAUCCCAAAUCAUCAAAUGUUCACAGAAUAGUUAUGCUCGGAAAGUACCUAGGAUACAUAAAGUUCGUUGGCUCUGAUCCAUCCAAGUAUUUUUAAGCAUCUUUGGCUGAUACUCGAGAGACUCCCUAUAAAUGAGCUCUCGCACGUCCUCUUCUGUUAUCCUCUGCCUCUCAAAGAGAGCUCUCUUUCAACCUUAGCUAAAUUCUUGAAGUACGGAUCUGCAAGCGCCUGUGAAGUAAACACAUAAAACCAUAAUUUUAAUUUUAAUCCAACCCCACUUACAAUAUUGUAAUAAAGGAAUACCUCUUCAGAUGUAAGCCUGUCUCUGGGUUCAAAAGACAACAUGUUCUCUAGAAAACGAAGAGCGAGAGGAUUGGCAUGUGGGAACUUAUGUGAAAACGGAAUAGGCGAUUAGAGACGAAAAAUCGAUGAUUUCGGAUGAAGAAACAAGGAUUCUCACACUAAAUCGCCAUUGACAUGGCUUGAAGGUUUCAGCGGAGAAGAUGAGUAGAGUGAAACCCGAAAUUAGGGUAAAACACGAUAGUUAAGUGUUUUUUUUUUUUUUUUUUUUUUUUUUUUUUUUUUACCUCUUUCACGAUUUGUUUCCUUUCUUUUUUCUUUUUAUAUAAAAUUAAAUAAAUUACCAUUAAUAAAAAUUAAUUAGGCUAAUUGAAAGGUAUAAUGGUAUUAAAAAGAAUAUAAAUCCUAGCUACCUAAACAAACUUCUACAAAUCCUAUUGGGAUAAAUCUAAGUUGAUAAUGUAUCUUUUUCCCAAUUUUCUCAUUAAUUAAUCCUAGUGGUAUAAAUGUAUGUUUUCCUUUUAAUUAAAAAAAUUAGUCAUUUUACUACAUGGGGUUCUUUUGGUGAAAAACAAAAACUAGAAAAAAAAAACUGUUUUUCUUGAAAUACUCAAAAACUAGAAAAACUAUCCUAAUGAAUUUCUCUAUGUUGCUGACAAAAAAAAAAAAAAAAAUGAAUUUCUCUAUGUUUUACAGAUUUUUGUUUUUGAGAAAAUAUGUUUUACAGAUUUAGUAUAUAGAUCUAUUGAGUUUGUGUUAAAAAUUGUUGAAAUUUACUAGAGUAUAAUCUGCACGCCCAUGCGGAUUUGUUCUUACAGUUAUAUAUAUCAAUAGUUUUCUAUAGUUUUUGGUAGUGUAUAUUUUUUACAUUUAUUGGUAUUAAAUAUUUGUUUAUAUAACAUUUAUACACCAAAGUUUUUAUUUAUAUGUGUAAUUUUAUUUAUUUAUCUAACUGUCAAUUAGAUUAGUUUUUAUAAUUUGUCUUAGUAGAUUCGCAUUGGCAUAUAGUUAUAUAAAAUAUGCAUGAAAUAACAUAUUUAAACAACCAUUUUAAUUUAAUAUAUAUUUUUAUUGAUUAUUUACAUGGGUUUGUAAAGUUUUAUUUAUUAGUAAUAAAUAUUAAGGAAUAGACUACAAUAAUUUAAAGAAUAUUUUGUUGAACAAUUAUCUCAUCUGCUUAAGGUGAAACAUAUAGCUAAUGAAAGAUUAUAAGUGAGCUUAAGAAAUUUUCAUCAACAUUAAUAUUUGGGACUAUUCAGAUAGAUGUCUAAUUUAGUUUUUCCAGCUUUGAUAUUGUAUAUUUACUUAUUGUGUAUUUUUUCUUAUAGAUUUUUAAUAUAAUAUUUCUAUUUCUUAUAUUGUAUAUUUUUCUUAUUUAUUUUACUAUACACUUUUGAGAGAGAUGUUUAAUUUAUUAUUUUCAUUGCUUAAUUGUAUUUUACCUAUUACGAUAGAUGACCAAAAUAGUUUCUUUUAAUUUAAAAAUUUUAAUUUUUUUUUCUUUUUUUUAUAAUUUGAAUUAUAUCUUCAAAACUCCACUCAUUAACUCUAAACUUAGGUUUAAAAUAGGUCAUUUUUCUCAUUGAGUGUUAUUUUGCGACAAAAACUUAAAAUAGGCUAUCCUAGAAAAUUUCUCUAUAUUUUAUAUUAAUUUAUUCUAAUUUUCUUGCUUUUAAAUCAAAU
rnacentral:lncRNA from 1 species